CUUACGGCUCUUUACCCCAACUAGCUCUGGCUCCAGUUCUUCCCUUUCUAUUCCUCGGUAAGCGGACCGGGGGAGCAUGGGCGGCGAUAUCUGCUUUUGACUGAUGGAAAGCAUCUCUCCUUAGCCUCUAUUACCUGACCGAACCCAAAAAUCACAAUAGAUUGGUUCUUGCCAGUCGCAUCGGAGACAUCUUUAUCUGAGAAGGAGGCUUCGUCGUCCGGCUCCUCAUAAAUGAUGUUAGGAUCGGCCGGCUCAUCCUCUCCAUCCGAAAAGAAAAGAGAGAGAGGCUCAAUGCAAUAUGAGUUGCGGAGAGAGAAAAAGACUAAAUAGGAUUUGAAGACACGUCACAUCAAUUGAAGCAGGCAGGAAGGGCGCGGAAGCUACCCUUUGACGAAUGCAAGCAAGGUCGCUUGCUUACUCUCCGUUGGCGGCAAGGAAGGAGGGGAGGGAAAGAAGAAAGACCACCUAUUUACUCAAGAGGCAUUCGGGAAGCAACUAGUUCUGGCCAAGCAUCAGGCCGACCACUACAUAAAGAAAGAGAUCCAUAUACCAGUCAUGAGCGAUAGUGAAGCCGUCAGAGGCAGAAGCUCUAGCUUUGCGGACGAAGCCGAGCCACUAAUGGAGUGGCGAAGGAGGCAUACUAGUAGUAGUAGUCUAUUAGUAACCGCUGAAAUACCAGAGAAAAAAUGGAAGUGCACUAUUGAAGCUAUCAGUGUGAUUGAUCCGACAAGUACUUUUAGUGGACGCUAUCAAAGAUGAACGGAAAGGUUCGAGCAAUAUUCUUUGCGCCUGAGGCGCAUCAAAAAGAAGGUUGAAGAUGACCUUGAUUUUUCUUUCAUUUCCGAAUUCGCUUGCGACAAGUCCUAGCAUUAGUAUGAGUUCGUUGACCGCGUAAGGGCAAUCCAUCUUGAUGACGAAUUCCACGAUAACAAGAAAGAGAAAUUAAUCGUUCGAUGUCUGCUCGUUCUCCCCUCUUCAAUUCCCAAUUCACAAUAUGAUCUUUUCCUAUCACUUGUUCAAUUUUUUCGAUCUGAUACUUAGUUAACUCUUUGAUCUUUAUGUUCCCACUGAUACCUAAUCGAUAACGAACCUGAAUGGCUUUUUUAGGUCCAAUUCCAUCAAUUUGAGUUGAGGCAAUUCUGACUUGUUUAUCGGCAACGGAUCUUGCUCCUGAAAUAUAUGACAUUCUUGAUCCUUCCUUUUACUAGUCUUUCUUCUCGGGCUGGAAUCAUAAAUGAGUUCUCUCCUCUUGAAUGAUCUUUUCUAUAGGUCGAACUACUGUGAGCGGUCUAAACUUCGACCCGGAUUGAUGAAGAUUAUGUUCUCGUACCCAAGCCCUGAAAAAAGAGAAAGAGUCUUGUGGAGGAGAAUUUCACACUGAUCUGACUAAAGAAGUGAGAAAGUGCUCCGCGAUGGGUCGCCUCGCGGUCUCAAAAUGGAAGUUUUUCGCCUUUAGGUCUUUUAGGGCCGCAAAAGAAAAGAAGAAACCCCGACGAAAGAUCGAAGUGGUCUCGUGCGCCAAAAGAAGGCUAUAAUGGAAGGCAUAAAAAAAAAUCUGACUUGGUCUGAGCUGCCUGCGGUUACAGAAUCGCCCGCGUCAAUAUUCUUUGAACCUUGACUCUCUCUCUAGAAAAAAAAAAAGCUUUCUCUGGUAAGCCAUUCAGACUCCCAGAAAGAGAAAGCCUAUGGCCCAGGUUUUGAUUAAAGAACCUUCGACUUGCUUGCAUGUCUUAAGCAUAUAGCUAGCCUUCCUUCUGAGCCAGGAUCUUUCUAUUUGAGUAUGAUUGGGCCUGCUAGACUGCCACGGAGCGGUUGCCGGGCGUACUACUUCACUGAAGAUUGAUUCUCUCUCCUGAACUAUGUAGUACGUUAUAUAUUCUUUAAGGCAAAGAAUGUGAUAAUGAAAGAAACUACAUAAAAAACCGAGAUUCGUCGACAUUUGCGUCUCAGCUUACUCCUGUCUCAGACCACGACUCUGUCCUUGAGCUUGUGGGUCCUAUAAAAGACAAUCUCCCGAUGCUCGACAGAGAGGUAUGUACCCUGGAUAGAUCGUCUCGGGUUGACUUUCAAACCAAGCAGGAAAAAGCCUCAUAGUUUACAAGGUUAGACACAGACAGCAAGCCAAGGCACCUCGCUCGAUCCCACGGAGCGGGAUCAGGUUAGUAUGGAUAGUCCUUCGCAAAUUCUUUGCGCGGGUAAGAUCAAGAUCCUUUUUUCAGAGAAAAAGAAAGGAGCAAAGAAUUAUCGAAGCGAAGGCUAGGUUAAUAUGGAUAGUCCUUCGCAAAUUCUUUGCGCGGGUCCAGAUGCGUCACAGUCCGAAGGCGCAAUUCAAUAUGCGUUGAGAGGCGCAAUUCAAUAUGCGUGAAGAGAGGCUCAAUGUAAUAUGAGUUGCGGAUUUGAGAGAAAGAUUAGACUGACUCCCUACUCAAUCCUUUCUAGCUUAGGCUGCCACUGACUCCGCGAGCGAUGAAAGAAUGAGUGGAUUCAUCCACAAGGUGCUUUAGGUGGAUCUGAUCCAUAGUUCGGAUUCGGAAAGGCUAUCUUGAACCGCUGAGGUUCCCGGCUUGUGCCCCUAGCUAGUAGGUAGGUUCAAGCACUUUUGGCAUCAGAUCUCUUUUCAUUGACUUUUGGGGGCUUUGAAAACGAGUGAAAGCGGGUGGGAUGGAGCUCUUUGUAUUUGAGAUAGUUUCAUCCUCGUCUGCUGUCUCUGCUCUCUGAAUUUCUGAUUCCGCGGCACCAGUCAACACAGUCCUAUUUUUAGGGGAAGAGUUGCAGAAGGAAAGGGGCAGCUAAUUUCAUUGAUUCUCUCUCUUAUUAGACAAGGCAAUUUCUUGAACUUCAGACAGCUAGAGAGAAAGCCGAUCCACUAUCGGGUGACGGAGCCAUUGGGCCAAUCGAUAGGGGAAAAGGAGCUCAGCACCAUGGGGCAAGUCCUAUCCUAUUCCCUUUGUUCCACUCCUCUCCGUCUCCAAAUUUGCACUCCUUUACAGUGGUGGAAUUCUGAAAGAAAUGCAACGAGGAAUUUCCUGUGAACGCAUUCCCUCUCGUUUUCCUUGUUCCCUAUUGGCGUAGAAGGAUGCCAUUAUUCAAUGACCUCAUUAGGUCAAAUGCGCACCCUUGUUCAUUGAGGCGGUUUUGGGUAUAGGUGAGAUCUCUCAACGGGGAUGUAUUUUCUAUCAAUAUCUUAGAAUAUAGAAAGUUGCGAUUUACCGGCAUUCUUCAAAACUCAAAGAAAGAGAAGGUGGCGAAGCCGAACUUAUGAAAAGUAUGAAAGAUCAGAUAAGAAAUAAAGCACUGACAUUAAGUAAGAUCAACCACUAUUUAUCGCACUGAAAGGGAUUGAAUAUCAGAUGACUGAAUUAUUACUUUCAUCUUUCUAAUAUCUUUUUCUUACUUGAGCUGUUUCGCGCCUCCGGCUUCUUAUUGCAUUAUCAGGAGUCUGAUCUUCGGUUUCCUUAGACUGACGGUUCUUUCGCAUUCCUCUUAUUUGCCCUAGGGGGCUUCUAGAAGGAUUCUUCCGACAGGCUUUGCCGUAGGUAGGCUUUGACUCUUCCUUAUCCUUAAUGGGCGUAGGCUUUUUGCCUUGGCCGACGGAUCGAGCUUUCCGAUCUGGAAUAAGCGACUUUUCCUGCAACUUCAACCUCGGAAAAGAAAGCGGACGGUGGUCGAUCCCAUGAUAAGAAGACAAGCUAGAAAAACUUCCACAAGAAAAGCGACUGAAGAAAGAAGAUUUUGCCCAUUAUCGAUAGUCGGACCUCUUUUAUCCAUUUCAUUGUUGCGGGACCUCUCUAUUCCAUUUCAUUUGUUGCGGUAGGCUUUCUUUCCAAACCUACUAAAUAAAGCCUAUCCUUUUCUUUCUUAAGUUUCCUUUAAGCCCUUUACAAGGUAAGGACUGAAAACUCAAAGAAAGAAGGUUCUUCUCCAAGGCAUGAGUCAAAGAAAAUGCUUUCUCUAUGUAUCUAAUGCAAGACCCGUCGAUAAGCUAAGGCUAGGAGACCAUGAGGACAAGUCCAUUCUCUUUUUCUUUCGCCUUCGCCCUCCCGUGCACCCGCCGGGGCCGAUCCCUAUACUAAGAUAGUCGGGCCAGAGGUCGCGCAGCAGCUUCCCGUGGAGCCUCCUGCGGAUCAUCAGCCCGGUUGGGCUCAACCUCAGAGAAAGGUUGAGUGAAGAGGAAUCCAUAUAAUAAGGCCUUUCGCCGGCUAAUCUCUUCCAAGGAGUAUCGGGGGGUGGAAGGGCAAAUUCACCUUUUUGAGGCUCGGGCCGAAGAGCUAAAGCAAAAGGCCGACGAGCUCCUUCAUCCUCCUUCCAUUCCAGUGGAUGAAGAGUCAGAUGUGGGGCUGGCAAUCAAUCUUCUCUUGGAGAAGAAGAGAGGCGACCGCCCCGUGGGAUUCCUCUCCAGGGCGAUUCAGGCGAUUGAGAAUGGCAAAAGCCGCUUCGCUCCUUCCCUCCAAAUCCUCGAUACGCUCUCUGGCAGCGCGAAUGCGCCCUUCUUUCCUGGCAGGAUCCAGUCUUCUAAGACUCCUCAAAAAGAGGUUUAGCACUCUACGGCCUCAUCUCAUUUUUCAGUUGCCCCAUUUCUCUUUCGGCAGCAAUUGCAGAAAGCCUCUUUGCAGCCUGCUAGUACUCAAUUUCUUUGAUUUUCAUUUGAUGAGUAGCCUCCAUCUUCUUGAUGUUGAGAUCCGUGAAUAGUACUUCUUCUUUCAUCAGACUGGGACUACUUCCCCUUCCUCUUUCAGUUAUCUUUCUACCAGAGUUGUAGAGGAAUCUCUCCAUGAAGUAGGAAUUGGAUGGCUGGCACAAUUCUGACUAGUUCGUAGCACUACUUUUCUGCAGUGAAAAUACUCUUCUGCCUAUUUAGUGAAAAAACUGGCAGGCUCUGGCUACCUUGCGGAGCAAAGAAAACCCAAAUCACACUGCCUCUAUGAAGAAAGAAAGUAGACCCCUCCUCUAUUACGAAAAUAUGAUUCAUAGUCCUUCGCUAUUUUAGUUCCAUUAAGAAAAAUCAGUCAGAAGGCGCAAAGAAUAUUGCCUUUAUUUAGGAUCAAUGAAAUUUGAUGAGAGGAGGGCUCAGGUUAAUAUGGAUAGUCCGGAGGACCUCCUUCAGCAUAAUGUCGUUGGGGAAGUUCUUUCCGUCCUCUCUCUUCUUUCAUUUUCAUAUAUAUAUGAAAUCAAGCAGGAACAUGAUAAGUGGAAUUAAGAGGUCCGACUAUCCACUAGCGCUCCAAACUGUCUAAUGAAAGAGUGAACUCGACAAAGUAACCUCGACAGGACUAGGCGACCCCUUAGCCCUUUCCCUGGAUCGGCUGAUAAGUCAUCUCAUCCAAAAAGACUGGGUUUCCAUCACCCUACGCUAGUCAAUAUUCUUUGAACCUCUUUGGAGUUGUCUUUCUUCUUUCUCUUAGCAUUCCUUGCCAAAAACAAAGGCUCUAGCUGACGUAGGAGGAGGAGUUUCCAACCUUGCCGUAGGUUUCUCUUAGCAUUCCUUUUAGUAGGUUGUAAUAGUCAAGUAAAUCAUCAAAACCUUCGCACCUCUCUUUCUAAAAGAUAAAAAAGGUCUGAGCCCCUUUCGUCUUUUCCUCUCUUCUUUCCCCAUUUACAGGGGAUUGACUAACCCCACGGAUAUCUUGUCUUAGCUCAGCCUCUUAUAGCGAGCAAGCAAAGCCUACUUCUACUUUCUUGGUGGGCCCGCUAUUUGAUCAGCGGAUCAUAAAUGAGCCCAGCUUCGCUAAACUCGCACGCACCGACUGGCGGUCUUCACGAAAGAUUGUUGGCAUGCCUCCCAUAAGCAUAAGAAGAAAGAAGGCUGAUAAGGAAACCUAUGAGACCGCCUUGUUCUGCCCAUAGCGGUGAAGCAGAAACUAAAGGCCCUAUACAGAUCAUGAUAAUCUAUAGUAGAAUCAUACUCUCAAUGUGCUAUGCCAUAGAAGUGUGGGAAACUACUUCCUUAUCUACCCUAGACUAGCUUAUGCUAUCGGAUAGGUCUUAUUAGGACGACUUUCCCAUUCUUUCCUGCCUUAAGGUGAAAUAAGGUCUCUCUUGGGUAUUCAAGGUCUAAUGUGCUCCCCGACUAGGCUCUGCUUUUGAGGGUGGGCUUGUAGUCUCUCUUACUCCUAUAGGUCAGAAAGAGAUAUAUUCAAUUUUUCGUAUAUGACUGACGAUUUACCAUCAACCUGCUUAUAUAUUAAUAUUAAGUGAGCAAAUUCUUCUCAUAUUACAUUGAUCCUCCCCCUAAGUAAAUUCUUCUUCUGUAAUAUAUUCUCCUCUGAUAUAGAAUAUCUAUCUUUCCUUUCAUAAAUAGGAAGGAAAGGAUUUCUCCUCAAAUCAAGUCAGUCUUCCGAAAGAAGGGAUCAAGAAGUGGUGGUUCAGUCACUUCGGUAGGGGAUUCGCGAUCCCAUCUCUAUGGUCUUGCUCUUGAUGGUACCUCAUCAUGGGGGUGCUGCCCAAGCGGAGCUAACUACAGGUCCGAAUAUACUGCGAUCACCCAGACCUUUCUAAUACUGAAAUCCUGUAUACGAAAUUUCUUCAGUUGUCGACGCCGCAAUAUGCGCCUUCUAAUGGAUAGUCCUACUUCGGUUAAUUACGGAUAGUCCUACUUCGGUUAAUUACGGAUGGUCCUACUUCCAUAUGGAUAGUCCUACGGAUAAGAAUCCUGCGGACUCCGGACUACUUCCCUCCAUAUGGAUGGUCCUACUUCGGUUAAUUACGGAUGGUCCUACGGAUAAAUCCUCCGGACUACUUCCAUAUGGAUAGUCCUCCGGAUAAAUCCUGCGGACUCCGGACUCCGGACUACGGAUAAAUCCUGCGGACUGCGGACUCCGGACUGCGGACUGCGGACGUAGGACUCCGGACCUAGACACAAAGAAAGAAAGUGAAUAUGGAAAAAAGAAAGAAUGUCAUCGUAAUUCAACUCCGUUAGGAGUUAUUCCACUAAAAAAAAGAGUCAUGAUAGGUAGUCCGUCCGAAGGACUAUUCAAUCCAUUAGUUUUCGCUUGCACUCCUUUCUUCUUUUCCGCAAUAUUCUUUGCUCCUAACGUCUGAAACUGCUUUAUAAAGGAAUUUGGAAAAGCUCGUUUUGGAAUAACUCCUACCUAUUCCUUGCUCCUCCUCCGGGAUCAGGACGGAUAUUAUUGGUAAGACUCCUUCUACGCGGUCUCGCAACUCAUAUUGCAUUGAGCCUCACUACUAAUGGAUAAAGAAGUCCUUCGGACUCCGGACGGGGGGGAUUUCCGCUUGAUUUUACCGUAGCCAUGAAAGCAAAGGUGGGGUUUGACUCUCUCUCAAGCCCUAUUUCUGGAUGGAAGUUGGAACCUCCCCACUUUCUUAGUUCAAAUGCACAAUUUCCCUAUCUCUUCUUAUGGCUCUUUUGGGCCUAGGCGAGAUAGAGUUGUAGAUAGGUUUGAAUUGCUCUAUUGCGAGAAAGAGAAAAGGAGUGAGAGGGGUGUCGCAAGCUCCCUGAUUGAGUAGGCAGAAAGGGGUCAGAGCUAGCUGCUGGGCCAGAUUGACCUUCAGUAGCUGCUAACAAAGGACCGGAUUGACCGCCUCAAUGAAGAAGGCGCAAAGAAUAUUGCGGUGAGUAGGGUAUUCAAUAUGCGAGACCGGAGAAAGAGGUUAUGAAAUAUACUACCCGAAAGCUAUAACUUGAAGAGAGAAAGAGUUGACUCGUCCGAAGGCUCAAAGAAUUUGACCUAUGAUCAAGCGAAGAACUGAUAACCUGCCGAAACUAAGAAGUUGAGCGGCUUUCCAGUCGAGCUAAAUCUCUUCUUUCUUCUCGUUCAAAAGAAACCUACUAAAAAAGAAAUACGAAAGCCUACCUGCCAAAUUCUGAAAAAUAGUCCAUUUCUCACAUUCAUUCACAUUCAGUCAAAAGAAGAGACUUGGUCCGGCAAGAGGGAUCUCCGGCUUAGGCUCGAGGCUCCUCUUCUUCUUCCUGUGGAUUAGUGGAAGGAUGUCUCAUCCGCUUGAGAGGGUAUGCAUUCCUUACGCGCGAAUUGGAUGAUUUCUCUUUAUCGAUUGAUUCUGAUUCUUUCUACCCAGCCGGCGGGAGUCAUCAUUUUUGCGUACUCCGGAAGACCUAGGUUUUUAAUGAUUUACUUGAGUCAAAGACGUGCAGAUGAGGCAUCCGAGACAGAAAGAAGAAGAAGGACUGAAACCGCCACUGGGUCGAGCAUUCGGUCUGAAAGAUCUUCUUUAUCUCGAUCACAGUCAACUUUUGAAUAGUUGAGUAAAUCAUCAAAAUGGGGUUCGAUCCUUUUGACUUCGUCAUAGAGCUCUGCCCUUUUGAUCUUUUAGAAAGAGUAUUCCAAGUAAGACCAAAAUGCAAUGAAUUUAAGCGGAGGCCUUGUUCAAAGAAUAUUGAAAGGGAUAUUGUGCGAGACUGAAAGGAGAGGUGCAAAGAAUAUUGCGAGGUCAUCUGAAACCCUUUUUUUUGAUGCGCCUCAGGCGCAAAGAAUAUUGCGAGAUUCAUACUAUUAAAUAAAUAGGUUGAGGCGCUUCGGUUAAUUACAGAUAGUCCUACUUCUGUUAAUUACGGAUAGUCCUCCGGAUAAAUCCUGCGGACGUAGGACCCUGGACCUUUCUUUCUUUAAUGGAUAGUCCUACGGACUCCGGCGCAAUGAAAUAUGCGAGGUCCAUAUUAACCGAAGAUUUAGCCUUCCUUCGGAACCUGCUCAAGAAAUAAGGGAAGGAAGCAAGGAGUCAAGUUAAGAAUCUCUUCUCUUUCAUAUUCACUCGAACUCCUAAGGCACCUUUCCUAAGCCAACUACCCUUUUUCUACUUUUUCCGACACUGAAUUCUUCUUAGCCUGAACCUAGGCCUUUCCUUUUGGGGAAUCGAGCAAUCUUCUGAUCUCUUCUCUUUGUUUCGGGAUCGGGUACAGGCCAUGAGCAGUCCCAAUCUGCCUUCCUCUCGUAGGACCAUAAGAAAAGCCCACUCCGCGGUAAGGCUUGAGGUCUAACCCACGGAUGAAAUAUUCUUUGAACCUAUCUCCCCGGCUGUAGAUUGAGGUUAUCACCUUAUUGAGUGGAUGGAGAUCGGCGGCUAAUAUGAGUUCAUUCUAUUUAGAAUAGGAUAGAAUAUGCUGAAAGAACCGCUACGUGGGCGACUUUCUCAACAGCAAAAUGCCACUUCCUCUGCCCGUAGGUUGUUGAGCCUUUCUUCUUGCACCUUGAAUAAAGAGCUUUUUUCGGGAGAAAUCCCAGUUGAGGGGAACAUAGGCUCCGAUCAGGCUCAAGAGAAGGAAGGGCACCUCCCCCUGGCUAACUUACCCUCUACAAUCAGGAAAGACUCCACUCCUUCCCUUCGUCUUCUCAGUCAAGCAGUUCCACUCCUAAUAGGUCAAGCUGCUUCCAACUUCUUCUUCAACGGGAAACUUCAAGGCAACUGAGACGGAUUCUACAGGGGUGGGGUUCCUCUUUAGUAGAAAAAAGCCCUUUCCGGGAUCCCGCCUCAAGAGAGAAUUCCAAGUCUUACCUAUUUUCCCCUAAAGACUCACAGGUUUGGACUCGUCCAAACAAUGGCCUGGCCGAGAAAGCAAUGUCCGCGACUGAUAUCUUCUUAUCUUAUCAACCUAUUCGCCGACAAAGCCACUGAAAAUUCUUCAUUCUUGACUGACUAUAGGCUAAGUAGCGAAUGCUGUAAUCAAGGGCCUGCUUUAAUGGUUGCUUCAUUGGUUCAGGGGAAUUGGCUUGAAUCUGAAGCCGGACAUAGCGAUUGGCGAACCACAACUCGUGCUUAAAGCUUUGAAUUUGAGUGGGAAAGAGGGGGUUCAUGCUGUGAUAGCCAAGCGGGGAGAGAUGGAAAGAGGACUAAUGCCUUGGCUUAAUUUAGCUUCUUGGUUUUCCGGUCAUUUUCUGAACAUAAAGAGAUUUUUCUUAUUGUAUAUUGUCUUUUUACCUUUGACCGAUCUCCAUUGCUUACAGGAAAGGGAGGAAGAGAGAGAGGAGCUGGUACCAAAUCAAUAGGUCAUUCAAUAUACGAGAGUUUAGUGUCAGAAAUCGGCUUGAUUAUUUCUCAAAAUACCGCUACUGUUGAAAAAGAAAGAAUGAAAGAGAAAUGCAUUAUAAAGAACGAAGAUCCCAACUAGCACUCAUGAACUCAUGAACUUCUAUAACUCACGAUAAAAGAUGAGAUCUAAGACUGUAAGUUGAAUGAAUAGGAUCGGUAGCUGACUGUAAGUUGAAUGAAUAGGAUCGGUAGCUAGACGGGUCCCCUGACAAGGAGGGAAGAACUCCCAGAUCGGUAUACGACUUCUCAGGAGAUAAAGGGGGAUCGAAGCUAGCCUCAAAGACCCAGAUCUUUCCGCGCCAGGAUCAGUAGAGGCUGGAAGGGAAGUUUCAGUUGCUCUUUCCCAACCAGAUAGAAAGGCAUAAGGCCUCAGCCCAAGCCGAUUGUAGCAGUUCUUUCAUCUCUUUCGGAAUGAAAAAGAAAUGAAUCUCGGAUGUGUAGUAUAAGAAGCUUGCGAGAGUAGGCUCCAUAAGACAGGGAUAUUGUAAGGUUCCCACUCUUUUUGUUUUCUUGAAUCUCGUUAAUGAACUCACUCUAUUCUAAAUAGAAGAAAGCAUCCCCAUAGAUAGGAUGAAAUCAUCAUAAUCCCCUAAGCCCACUGGGAGGAAGGCGAGUGUCCAGGGAACAAUCUUGCAUAAAGAGGCAUCCGUCUCGGCGGUCCAUAGAAGCAUGAGAAGGAAUUCAUAUCACCUUCUUUGUUGGUGCGCAGCCACUCGACUUAGACGUUAGCGAUUGGAUCCCCCACUCCUAGGUUGCUUUUUGCUUGAUUUAAAGACUCCAAAAUCAGAGCUAUCCCUAAUUAAUGUUCAGCUUAGAGCCUCCGUCCUCCUACGCAGCUUCUCAAAUUCUUUGACCCGACUCCCCAUUCGUUUUUCAACUCUUUUUCUGGAAUGAAUUCCAGUCUUCUUUCAGGGGCGGGAUAUGGAUGGAAGAGAGAGGGAAGAAAGAGUCCGGUUUCAGAGGCUUGAUCCACUUUCUAGGAUCAUGAAGAAAUCCCUAAAUGCUUCUUUAUACUCUCGCCCAGGUAGGGAGAACUCUUAGAUAUAAGACGUUUUAGAGAGUUUUGAUUCAAAUCCAUCUCCACCUAUGUUGUGCCCUUCCUCCCAAAGCAUUCCGGCAUCUCUUAUUCCAGGUCUCACCCUCUUCAGCAAAGGAGUGGAGAAAGACAUGGAAUUGGAAUUGAUAGGGAACCGUAGCCAAGUGGCUAAGGCAUAAGUCUGCAAAACUUCUAUUCGUCGGUUCGAAUCCGACCGGUUCCUACAGCUUAGCCCCAUUCCACCCUGACAUGGUGUCUGUCUCGAACGGGGGCCUCCGCUUGCUCCUUCGUACCUUUGGCUUAGGCCGCUUUCCCUUCCUGACAGUAUUUCUUUUCUGAUUAGCACUCUCCUUUUCAUGAGAAUUUGACUGCUAUCCUUGCUUCAGCCUUCGUCUUUCGGCUUUAGGACUCACGGGUAUCUCUCAAAAAAAAGGUAUUCCGUGAUCUUUCCGUCUUUAGUUUAGGUUCAUUAUGGCAGUUCUUAGUUUCGUCUCUUUAUCAGUGAAUUCGCUUUCUUAAUUGCAUAUAUUCAUAAAAGGGUAGUCCUUCCCCCAGGUGCGCCUAAAGUCUGAUGAUGAUCCCUUUCAAAGCCGGUGAAACCAUCAGGCUCGACUAAGAAAUCAAUGCCUCCGACUCCUUCUAGUAACCAUCCCCGAAAUCCAGGGAGGUCUUCUUUCAGACAUGGCGGGCUCCACUCAAAUUCUUUGAGCCUUCUCUGCUACCAAAUCAUAGAUCUUCCAGAGAAGACCAAAGCGAAUGAGCUCACUCGAUUCGCGUCUGAUCCUCCAUUCUUUCUCAUAGACUGAUGCUGAAAAUCAAAAAAAGAUAGGUUCCUUCAUUAUAAUGCAUUUCUUACCAAUGGACGUACCGAAGCCAUCAUCCAGUUCCUGAGCAAAGACCACUCAAGGAAGUCCUCUCUUGGAAAGCAAAUAAUGAGAGCUACUUGACUUCUUUCAGGAAGGAGAUAAUUCAACCGCUCAGAUAAGGAAGAGCGAAAGCUCACUCUACCAAGCCAGAAUGAUAAUGUCUCGUCAUUGCCGGGGGCUUGGUGUACAUAGCAAGAACCCGCUCAAAGUGAGGAGAUCUUGUAUGACUGAGUUUGGCAAGGACCCUAUAACCCCCACCACCAAGGCAUCCUUAAUCUUGCCUUUUCAUGGAUAUGGAUAUUUUUGACAUAAAAUAAGAAGACCAUAUGGAUGAUGGUAAGCAAGCAAAGAAGGAGCGGACAUGGUAUCAAAAUCCAUGCGUCCACCCGCGCUUAGCAAACUCAAAUCUUUCAGUCGAUUAAAGAACUGAACGAAGGUGCACAUUUUCACUCCUAAUUGAGAAAAGAAACUUCAGCAACUUGGGUAUCAGCGAUGACAACAUCAUCACCGAGCACAUUGAUUGGGACACCACAUCAACUAAAGUGGCUUUUGAACGAGACCUAUCGGCCCACGGAGCGGGGCAGUUGCUACGGCCAUCGAUAGUCGGACACCGCGGAGUGGGCCUCUUUCAUCCUCUUUCAUUCUGCUCUUUCAAAGAGAUAUAAGGGGUAUGAGCUACUCGAUCUCGAGAAAAUGGCUUUGGAUCUCUCUCUACAUCUGGAAUAUCUGUCAGAGGAUAUGGAACUCAAUAUCGAUCUGAAACGUCGAAGCUUACACUGACUCAAAGGGAGACUGCUUCUAGCCAACAUCGGCUAUGGAUCACGCCCAUCAUCAUAAGGGCAUCUCGGUAUGGGGUUGGAUGGAUCAUCGGCCCUGGUGAUGGCUCCCCAGUAAAGGGAAGAGGAAGGGAUGCUAUUGGUGCUAUCGGUACAGCUCUCCUUAUCAUCGGCAGAUAUGCUUUUCUAUUUGCGGGGGUCUUUCUUGCUCUUGGUAUCGGCUUCUUUCUGGAUAUGCUUCUGCUUUUACUGAUGCUUAUGGAUGGAUUACUUGCUGGAUCUCACCCGCUCAAAGAAGAUUGAAUUUCGAAAGCCAAAGCUACUUAUGAGCCCUCCCUUGUCAUUGAAGGCGGAGGCUGAAUUCAUUGAGUUGCGGCUAUUCUAAAAGAAACUUAUCCACAAAAAGGAAAGUGAAAGCCAAAGCAGAUCCACAGCAAGGGUUUCAACUGAAAUUUCUCAUUCAAUCGCCGACCGCUCCGUCUUAUCUGAUUUUCGCCGACAAAAGUCGCAUAUUGAAUUGCGCCUCCGGAAUUCUGAUUAUUAAGGAGAUUCAUUCAUGAAAGGCAUAUUUCAUUGCGUGAGAAGCCGCGCUGCGAGAGCUACUAAAGCGAGAGGUGAGAUGGAAUUGAGUAGACUAAGAAGGGGCGAAGCGAACAGGAGUGCAAGUUGGAAGGAGAGGUUCCAUAAGACAGGGAUAUUGUGGGCGAGACCAAGGAGGGAGAGAGAUGAGGUCUACGGAUUAUCCUACAUAAAUUAGUUCUUGGAAAGACUACGAGGCGCAUCAGCGGAAACUCAGACCUAAAUCACUAACUAAAUAAGGGGUCAUAUCACGAACGGGAAGCGAAGGCAUACACUGACCAUAGCCGGAGAGGAAAGGAGCUCAGCAGCUUGACCCGCCUUUCAGUUUCUUGGGUGUGAAAGGAUAGGUUAUCGGCCUAUUACCUAUAGGAGAAAUGCUGGCAUUGAUAGACUUAGAGGUGAAAUUCUCCGUUUCGGAAAGAGCUAACUCAUCUUCUUCUUUUUAAUAGGCAGAAAGGCGAGAUGGAAAAUUGGCUGAACAUGAUAGAAGCAAGGCGCAAAAACAAGGGUGCAGAUGACUAUCCAUUAGAGAAUUUGACUUUGGAGGAGUAUGAAAUCUGGGUUAAUAUGGAUAGUCCUUCGGACGGGAUAUUCUUGAGAGUCAUGAACUCUAUUAAAAAGGACUGCCGAUUGAAAAGACUAUUAUCAAUCUUCAAAUCUCCGCGGCUGAAUUCAUAUUCCUCGACUUCGUAGAAGGAGAUAGAAAUCAAUGAACGAGUACAAUGAACAAGGGCUCUUCUUCUUAAACUACUUUCAGUCGGAGAGAGAAGAAAUAAGACGUAGUAGGAGUUGAUGAUUGUACCGCGUAGUGGGUCACUUUAUUCAGUAGAAAGAGAAUAGUCAUUUUGAAGGUUUUGACAUAGUGAAAAAUCAGUCAAAAAAGAUCUUUUAUCGUUAGCUAUCGAAAUCUUCUUUGAGCCCGUAGUUAGGAGUAUUAAGACCGGAGGACCAUCAAAGAAAGGUCCAGGGUCCGGAGUCCGCAGGAUUCUUAUCCGGAGUCCGGAGGAUUUAUCCGUAGGACCAUCCGUAAUUAACCGAAGUAGUCCUACGUCCGGAGGAUUCUUAUCCGUAGGACUAUCCAUAUGGAAGUAGGACCAUCCGUAAUUAACCGAAGCAGUCCGCAGGGCCAAAGAAAGGUCCAGGUGAUUUAUCCGUAGGACCAUCCAUAUGGGCCAAAGAAAGGUCCAGGUGAUUUAUCCGUAGGACCAUCCGUAAUUAACAGAAGUAGUCCUACGUCCGGAGGAUUCUUAUCCGUAGGACUAUCCAUAUGGAAGUAGGACCAUCCGUAAUUAACCGAAGUAGGACCAUCCAUAUGGAAGGAAGUAGGACUAUCCAUCCAUAUUAACCUUUGGUCCAGGCGCAGGCGCAAAGAAAGAAGCUCAUUAACUCGAAUUCAAGAAUCAUUAUGAUUGAAUCACCCAUAACCUGGAGGGAAAUCCAGAAUAGACCUCUCAGUAUCCGGACCAUAAACUCAAACUAGAAGUCUUCAUUGAUUUUCCCUGUCCUAGGAGUUCUUCUUUCAUUGCGUUUUCCCGGCUUUUUUGCUUCUAAAUGUGACUUUUGUUAAUCUUGAUAUUUAACGAUAAUUGUCUAAUUUUGACGGAUUUUUCAUGAUUUCUUGCUACUUUAUAGGCCCAAAACCUAGCAUUUUCUUGUAUUUCCCUCCGCGAAGGACUAGUCUGAAAUCUAGCAGAUUAAUCUGAAAUCUAGCAGAUUCAUAAUUCUUCUUGAAUUCGAGUUAAUGAGCCCGUAGUUAGGAGUAUUAAGACCGGUCCUACGUCCAUUUAUCCUCCGGACUAUCCGUAAUUAACCGAAGGAGGACUUUCCGUAAUUAACCGAACUUUGCGCCUGCGGGAUAAAAAAGAGAAAAUUCUUUGCUCCUCAUCUGGACCCGUCCUCCGGACUUGUUUAUCCAUUAAAUAGCGGGAGGCUCCAUAAGACAGGGAUAUUGUAGGCGGUCGAUGAGUUCUAUAAAGAUAGGUUCAAAAAUCAAGCCUCAAAUUCGCAAUAUUCUUUGCACCGCUCCGUGGGUUCCAGAAAUUCAAUGGAUCUAAUGGACACUAAUCUGGAGCUUGAUUUCUCUUGGACUUUCUCACGCAAUAUGCUUUGCGCCGCUCCGUGGGCUUACCUUUCAGUCGAGCCCUCCUACGGUCUCAUUGAUAAGGACAUCUUUGCAAAUGAAGAGCGGGAAUUACCUUUUCUCUUCGGGUUAGCUAAGAGUUGCCGGAGGCUUGAAGUCGGAUACUUUACUUCAAGGUUAAAGAAAUCUUCAACAUCUGCAAAUUUAGCGUUAGCGUUCUGAGCUAGCCAAGAAGUUUCUCUAUAAUAUAGAGGAAAAAUUAUGCAAUCUAACGACACUAAGAACCUAGAGUCACCGCGGAGUGGGAAGGUUCAUUCUUUCUGUCCCAAUCGGGAAGAGAGAAAAGAAAGGUAAUUCUUCCCCCUAUUUAUUUAUGGAUGUCAUUGACUCUUAGGCGGAGGACUAUGAAACCUAUUACUUUGAGAAGCGAGGCUGAAAGCCUCUGAUGUACACAAAUUGAAUAAGAAAAGCACCAGGACGGAGAGUUACAUCAUCAUAUUGCUCUCCUUACCUUAAUUAGAAUGCUUCAAGACAUAAUGCGAGAACCCGAAUAAGAGAAGCCUGAGAUUCAAAAUCAAGCUCCACUGUCUCACUUUGAAUAAAGGUUGGACCACUCUCUGUGGCUAUGUUACAAAGCAAGGAGUUCGCCCGUGGUAACUGGGGAAAGUUCUCGCUAAAUGACAUAUUAAGGGAAGCCGAAGCUUCCAGAAACGCCGGUCAUGAGCACGGCGCUCAAGCAGGAGCGUAUGAAGCGGAUCUUCAAAAAGAUAGAUAGUUACGACAAUUUCCUACAUCUAAGGAAAGAUCCGGAGAUCGCGGAGCUCCUCUUAUCCAAAUACAGCACCGUGAGGAUGGGAAGACUCACAGCGCAUGAAGAUGCAGGAGAUAUCAGCUAUGGAGCUACGAGUAGCCUAUCUCUCAGGGAAAGGGCGGCCCCAAGAAUAGACCGCAGAGCUCUUGCAAGAAAAGUACCUAAUGCGUCAUUGGAUAGCCACAAACCUUGUCUUCCAGAGGCCUAUAAAGACAAAGCAGCUCUUUGUCUAUGGUCCGCCAAGUACACAGAAAACCCUACGGAGCAGCGCGGAGGCUAUAUUCAUGCGAUACUCACCCUACUGGGCAGGAGUGCAGGCUAGAUGGAAAGUAUGAGAGAACUUUUCUCAAAAAGGCUAAUGUACCCUAAGAUGGGAAACCGGAUUCCAGGAAGCUUCACCAAUGAGGACACGCCCUGGUCAAAACGCGUAAUGCCCUGAAACUUCUAUUCCAAAUAGAAGGAUCAAUGCGGAAUAUUGCGGGUUUGCGUGAGAGGAUCGUGGCAACCUUGUACGGUUGCAUGUGCGGCCGCCUAUGGGCAGAUCGUGGGAAAUCCACGACUGAAAUACUAUCAACGGAGAACAAGCUGUAGAAAUACCUGUAAACGACCCCUCCUCGGAGCUUCUAAUGGAUAAAGACUCAUCCAGAGCUUGAUUUUAGCUGGCGCUACAAUAUCCCUGUCUUAUUUUUCGUGGAAUAAGACUCAAGAGGAGCGGUCCUCUGGACCUUUUUUAUCCGUCCGAAGUCCUCGCAAUAUUCUUUGCGCCUGUCUGUCCUUCGCAUAUUUCAUUGCGCCUCAGUCCUAUUCAACCCAUGGAAUUGAAAGUCUAAUCUUUCUUUGGGUCCUCCGUUUUAGAGUCCUACGGAUAAAUCCUCCGGACCUGUCUUAUGGCACCUCUCUUAGUCGAGCUGCUUCGCACCUGGAAGUCUCGUCAAUAUUCUUUUCACCUUCGGUUCAAUUAUUUUGGAGGGCUCAAAGAAUUUGAGACGAGUGCAAGCAGUUUCAUUCUCAGUUUCAGUACUCUAAGCAAGGUAAUUCUCAGAGUCAUCUGUCUAUCCCGUUAAGGGGCAGGUGUUCAGCCGGAGACAAGAAAGGGCUCGACUUCCUUUGGGGAUUAUCCCUUGAAUCAGUGGGAGUUGGUCUUGCAGUAGCAGUUCUUGUUCCAGUUUCAUAGGUUGAAUGAUCUCUUUCGUAAGGCAAAAAGGCUGAUUUCUCUAUUUGGAAUAUCUGUCCCAUUAUUUCAAAGUAAAGGAAAGCCUUUAGAUGCGCUCAAGCGCCCAACUGGGCUCGAAAGCUGCGAAAAAAGUCUCGCUGUGAAAUCGGUGUGGUGAGGUAUUGGAAGUGUUCAGCGAAUCGAGAGAAAGACAAGAAAGUGAAAGGCAGAGCUUCCGCAAAACGAGGUAGGUAGCUUUCGCUAAUGAGAGAUGGCUUUGGGGAUUAGGUCUCCAAAUUCAUGGAAUUUCUUUUCUCUUUCUAUAUAUGAGAAGCAAAGAUGCACAGAGCAACCCGACCGAAGGCGCUGAAGGAGGGCAAGUGGUCCACUCUCUCAUCUACAACAGAAGAUCAACCCCUUGUCCAAACUGAAGAUAAAGUUCAUAUGGACCUGAUCUCAAAUCCCCUAAUGGAUAGUCCUUCGGACCUGUCUUAUGGCACCGCGGAGUGGUCCGGAGGCGCAAUUCAAUAUGCGACUUUGAACCGGAGGUUCAAUGCCCACGGAGCGGGAGAGGUCUCGUCUUUUCCGCUGACUCCCACUUUUUCUUUCUGUAUUUGCUUAGUCUUUGCUUUGUUCUUUUCCCCUUUCCACUUGUACUUCCACUUUCUUCCUUUUUGAUAUCGCUUUUCUUCUUUCAGUUGCCUUCCUUCCUUUCUCCCCUCUGAUUUUAUGGAUGCCCCUCCCUUUAGACUUGCAGUAAAGCUGAACAAGUUGACUCAGCUUGCGCUUGGCUUCACUGCCUUGACUAUCAGAGAGAGGAAUUGCUAAAUAGACAGAGAGUAGUACCAUAGGCUUUCUUCUUUUUAGCUAGUGAAAGAGGGCAAUAUUCUUUGCGCCUUCCAUCUGCCUGCUUUCUUUGACUGCAACCAUGCUUGCCAGAGUUCUUGCUUCCCUUUUUCGGCCCCAGCCACAUACCGGUUAGCGAGGAGAUUGGUCUAAGAUGGCUAGUUGCUUGUACUUUAAUCGAGAAAAAGUUGGAGAUAUGAGAGAAAUUCUUUUCUUUCUUUGGGAUAAAUUGCCAAUUCCAUGAAAGCAUUUGCCUUAAUGAAAAAAGGGGAUCCUAUUGACCUAGGAUAAUAAGCUCAUGAGCUUAGUCUUACUUCACCAGAAAGGAAAGAAGACUUCCAUCUCCAAGUUGAACUCAGACCUAGCUCCCUUCUUUAUAUCGCCUCUGCUGGUCAUUCUGCUUUGAAACUAUGGGAAAUGAAUUAGAUAAAUCAGCCUUUCUUUCUAUAAAGAGAUAUAUAGCUCAUUCCCGAUCUCACUACUUCGCAAAUUCUUUGCUCCUUCUCUUUGUUCAAGAAGGGCUACGUGGGCGACUGCUGAAACUGGGUCCCGCACCCCUAUUUAUUUAUGGAUGUCAUUGAGCGGAGGACCUCGAUCAUUCUUUGAGGACGGAAGCUUGAUAAAGUCAGAAGGCGCAAAGAAUAUUGCCCUUUUUGAAAGGCACCAAAAACAAAGGCGCAAAGAAUAUUGCGUUAGAAAUCAGUGGAAUUAAUCAGUCCUCCGCCUAAGAGCGCAAACCAAAGGCAAAGGACGCGUCGGACUCCCGGACCUCUUUAUAUCCACAGGAAAAGCUUGAUAAAGUCAGAAGGCGCAAAGACGCAAUAUUCUUUGUUUUUGGCUAGGCUUUCUUUCUUCUUGUCUUUUAUUGCUCCUAACCCCGAAAGAGGUGGGGUUCCUUCUAACCUCUCCUCUUCCCCACGUAGCGGUCGAGACUAUUCUACUCUUUCCGGAUAGAUUCUGUUCUUUGUCUUUCUCAAAUUCUUUGAGCAUCGACCGCCUACAAGAUCCAGUCAAUUAAUGUAGUGGGCUGACUUUGCGCCUCAGUCGCAGCUCCUUUCAGUUCUCCGCAAUAUUCCCCAUAUUAAGCUACGGAGGCCAGACAGGUCCGAAGGACUAUCCAUAUUAACCCGUCUGUCAUCUGGUCCCUUUGAUUUUCUUCUUUGCUCCUAACUACUAAUGGAAAGGACCCACGGAGCGGUGCAAAGAAUAUUGCGAAGGACAGACAGGUCCGAAGGACUAUCCAUAUUAACAUUAACCCGUCUGUCCUUCGGUCUUAAUACUCCUAACUACGGGGGAUAUUCUUGUAAUUAAUUGACUGGAUCUUGUUUGCGUGAGGUGCAAAGAAUAUUGCGAUGUAGGCUCGACAGGGAUAUUCUUGGAUUUCAGACUCGCGUAGGCGCAGUUGCGCAAAGAAUAUUGCGAAAACGUAGGUGCAAAGAUCUAUGGCCCAAUUAUAAGGGGUCCAGAUGACUAUCCAUUAGGGAAUGUGAGAAGCUCCUUAACAGGAGUGCGGAGUCUGAAAUCCCGGGUUAAUAUGGAUAGUCCUUCGGACGUCCGAAGGACUCUAAAAAGGAGCCUAACGGAGGCUCAAAGAAUAUUGAGGUUAGGAGCAUUGAAUUUAUAGAGAAUAGUCCGGAGGACCUCCUUCAGCAUAAUCUAUGAAUGAUCGGUUUCAUAUUGCGGAAAAGAAGAAAGGCUCUUUUCAUAUUGAGAAAUCCCGUCCUUCGGACAGACGGGUUAAUAUGGAUAGUCCUUCGGACCUGUCUGUCCUUCGGACUGGAGCCAGAAAAAAAAGGGCAAUAUUCUUUGCGCCUUCUGACUGCUAACCUCUGCGGUCAGUCCUUCGGACCAGGUGCGCGAAGCGAAGCGACUGGAAGGAUAGAAGCAGCUCGACUAAGAAGGAGAGGCGCCAUAAGACAGGUCCGGAGUCCGCAGUCCGCAGGAUUUAUCCGUAGUCCUACGUCCGGAGUCCGCAGGGCCAAAGAAAGGUCCAGGGUCCGGAGUCCGCAGGAUUCUUAUCCGGAGUCCGGAGGAUUUAUCCGUAGGACCAUCCGUAAUUAACCGAAGUAGGACUAUCCAUAUGGAAGUAGGACCAUCCGUAAUUAACAGAAGUAGGACUCUAAAACGGAGGACCCAAAGAAAGAUUAGAUUUUAGGCGAAGGACUGAUUAAUUCCACUAAUAUUUCGGAGGACUUGUUAAUGGAACUGAUUGUAGUAGGCGUCGGACAACUCAUUCAUUCUAUUUAGACCUCAAUGAAGAAUAUUGAUGAUCUCUCGCUAUCGGAUAUCAAGAGUAUUCCAAAGAUUACUAUCCUGUUCAAGUCUCGUUUUUGACUAAUGGGAUGCCUUUUUUCAUUUUCAUCAGCCAAGGUCAAGACCUGCUAGUCCUACCACGUUAAGGGAGAGCACCCAACUUGCUUGUUGACACGUGAGGGAAAAUAGGAGUCAGAGGUGGGAGGAUUUACCACGUUAGCCCUAUGGUAGUGAUGGUUGGUCUUUUAGAUAUUAUGUCCUUUGAGUGCCUUUUGCGCGCUUAGCCUCGGAAAGAAAGAGGUGCUUCUACAGCGCUUUGGUGCUAAAACCUAAAACUAGGCUCAAUUCGGAAACUGAAACGAAGAAAUUCCCACGCAAUAUUCUUUGCCUGAAAUUUGAAGGAGUCUUAAGACCUCGCAUAUUUCAUUGCGCCUUCGCAUAUUUCAUUGCGCCUCAGUCCUAUCCAUUAGGAAUUAAACUGCGCUAGUAGGAUAGAUACGGCAAGAUCUUUCACUUUCUUCCUUGACCUUCCGGCACUGGGCGGGCUUGUAGACUAUUUCAUUCCAAAUCGUCGCCCCUUUCCUUAUCUACCGUGUGCCUAUUUGCUUUCUUUCAUAGGCAAAUUUCUUUGUCGGUGGCAACAUCGGCAUGCGUUAUAUAAGACUUUAAGCGCACCUUCACUACAAGACUGCCAGAACCGUCACGGGCUUCUUCUGGAACGAGGCGCAAAGAAUAUAUAGAAUAAAGGAGAGGAGUGGAACUGCUCGACUGUAAGGAGAGGAGUGGAACUGCUCGACUGUAAGGAGAGGAGUCCUUUUUCCGUAGGUUGAUGCUUUGUAUCGCACGCUUCUUCUAUUUUUCUAUAUAGUGUGAACACCUUGCCCCCUAUUCAUUAGUUCCAAGAAAGGGGCCGUUCACGUCGCCGGUUUUUGAUCUAGUUGCAAUAAAAUAAGUUCGCUUUUUUUCGUCGAGAUUGGGUUGGUGUGAAGCCUCAGUACAAGAUCGAAAAGAAUGCAUAGCAUUCCAAGUGAGAUGCCCAAGAUAAAAGGAACGAGGGGAAGAAUCAAUGACGGAGGACGCUCAUUCUAAUGGACCUCGCAUAUUUCAUUGCGCCUUCGCAAUAUUCUUUGCACCGCUCCGUGGGUCCUAUCCAUUAGACUGCACCUCGCAAUAUUCUUUGCGCCUGGAAGUCUAGUCAAUAUUCUUUUCACCUCCGGACUAUCCAUAUUAACCCACUAAAAAAGCGAAGGACUGCUAACCUCUGCGGUCAGUCCUUCGGACCAGGUGAGUCAGAAACAUUAACUUUAGGCAGAUCCCCCCUUAUUCUUAAAUAGUGGGACUUCUCGCAAUAUUCUUUGCGCCUCUCAACAAUAUCCCUGUCUUAUGGCACCUUCUGCUUCAUGAUUUUGGAUAGCCAAUUAUAUAGAAUCUUUGACCCUUUGUUCAUUGCCUUGAUAGGCUUGGAGUUGAUUCCACUUUUGUCUCUUCUUUAGGCUUUCUCAAUAUUCUUUUCACCUUGCCUCGUCCGGAGGACUAUCCAUAUUAACCUGUCUAGCCUUCGGACUGGUCCGGAGGCGCAAAGAAUAUUGCCCAUUAGAACUUUUUUCAAUCAAAAAGCGUGAGGAUCAUUCUCAACUCUCGAUGUUAGAAGGUGCAAAAUCAAUGGGUGCCGGAGCUGCUACAAUUGCUUCAGCGGGAGCUGCUGUCGGUAUUGGAAACGUCUUCAGUUCUUUGAUCCAUUCCGUGGCGCGAAAUCCAUCAUUGGCUAAACAAUCAUUUGGUUAUGCCAUUUUGGGCUUUGCUCUAACCGAAGCUAUUGCAUUGUUUGCUCUAAUGAUGGCCUUUUUGAUCUCAUUCGUAUUCCGAUCUCAAAGGUUUCAGUCUCAUAAAGCAAGACCUCCGAAAUAUUAGUGGAAUCUUUGAAUAGUCCUUCGCCUCAUUCUAAUGGACCAACAACAGUUCUUCCCGCUGAUUUUCAUUGCGCCUGGACCUUUGUUUUUGGAAUAAUUGACCCCCUCCGUUAGGCGCAAAGAAUAUUGCGAGAGUCCUGAUCCUUUAUAAAGCAGUUUCAGACGUUAGGAGCAAAGAAUAUUGCGAGACCGGUCCGUCCUCCGGACUCAAGGAUUCCGCUAAAGUUUAGGGAAUUUAGGAGCUAUUCCAAAACGAGCUGUUAAAUUCCCCCACGGAGCGGUAUCUAAUGUUUCAGACGUUAGGCGCAAAGAAUAUUGCGAGACCGCGUAGAAGGAGUCUUAUUCCAAUAAUAUCCGUAAUGAUCCUUUCUUUAUAAAGCCGUUUUUUUCGGAGUAUUAGGAACCGGCUUAAAUAGGCGACUCAUGAUUCCACUAAAUAGUUAGGCUCCAUAAGACAGGUCCGAAGGCGUCACAGGUUAAUAUGGAUAGGACUGAGGUCUUAAGACUCCUAACUACUAAUGGAAAGGACUGAGGACGUCCGAAGGACUCUAAAGAGGACGGGGGUGAGGCGCAAAGAAUUUGCGAUGCGUUCCAAAAAAAAGCUGUGAAAUCCCCACGGUGCGGUGCAAAUCUUCUUAUAGAUUAUGCUGAAGGAGGAUCAAUGAAAUUUGAUGAGUCAUGAUCCCGAAAAAGACUGCCACUCCGCGGUUCAAUUCAAUAUUCAAGGCGGAGGUUCAAAGUCGCAUAUUGAAUUGCGCCUCCUUCUAAUGGAUAGUCCUACGGAUAAAUCCUCCGGACUACUUCGGUUAAUUACGGAUGGUCCUACUUCUGUUAAUUACGGAUGGUCCUACGGAUAAAUCCUCCGGACUACUUCCCUCCAUAUGGAUGGUCCUACGGAUAAAUCACCUGGACCUUUCUUUGGCCCUGCGGACUCCGGACUGUUAAGGCUCAAAGAAGAUUUCGAAAUCCAUAUAUAUAAAAAAGGCUAGGCGAAAGGCGCGAAGCGAAGCGCAUGAAAUUCAGAGGUGCAAAGAAGAAAGAAAGAAGAGAAUGGCGAUCAGAAGAUUGAGAAAUCCAUAUUUGUGGAUAAGAGAGGUCCUUCGGACUGGUAGAUUUCAGACGAUAGAGGUGCAAAGAAGAAAGAAGAGAGUUGCGUGAGAAAGUCAAAUAAUAGCUAUUAAUACUCCUACAAUAUCCCUGUCUUAUGGAGCCUUAGUCGUAUUCCAAAAAAUAGCCGUUUUCAAAGUCAAUGACAUCGGUUUUUAGUCAGCUAAAGAUAUUCUUUCUUCCCGCUCCGUGGGCUUAACGGUUCAAUGAACAAGGGGUGUAGUUCCUCCGCAAUAUUCUUUGCGCCUUCGCCUCGCAAUAUUCUUUGCUCCUAACUACGGGGGUACGAUCUAACUAAAAGGAUUCCACAUUCAAGAGGACCGGACACCUGAGUCGAGUAAUGGGAAGCGGGCUAGUCCCCGAAAAUGCUCGUUCCUGUUGGGGCUUACAAUGAACCUUGUGACUCUAACUCUUCUUCAAAAAAAGCCUCUCUAUAUUAGCGGAUCAGUCUUUACUUAUCUCAAGCAAUGUCCAUCCCAUGCCUUUCUUGGUUGGACCAACCCAACCGGCGAUUUCCGACAAGUCUUUCUUCAUUUUUCUUGAAAGAAGCGGAACUACAGGGAUGAAAUGAAAAGUGUUUCUGACUCUUACGCCCAACAGCCCACUUGAGCAAUUUGCCAUUCUCCCAUUGAUUCCUAUGCAUAUAGGAAACUAUUAUUUCUCAUUCACAAAUCCAUCUUUGUUUAUGCUGCUAACUCUCAGUUUGGUCCUACUUCUGCUUCAUUUUGUUACUAAAAACGGAGGAGGAAACUCAGUACCAAAUGCUUGGCAAUCCUUGGUAGAGCUUAUUUAUGAUUUCGUCCCGAACCUGGUAAACGAACAAAUAGGUGGUCUUUCCGGAAAUGUGAAACAAAAGUUUUUCCCUCGCAUCUUGGUCACUUUGACUUUUUCGUUAUUUCGUAAUCCCCAGGGUAUGAUACCUUAUAGCUUCACAGUUACAAGUCAUUUUCUCAUUACUUUGGGUCUCUCAUUUUCUCUUUUUAUUGGUAUUACUAUAGUGGGAUUUCAAAGAAAUGGGCUUCAUUUUUUCAGUUUUUUAUUACCCGCAGGAGUCCCACUGCCAUUAGCACCUUUUUUAGUACUCCUUGAGCUAAUCCCUCAUUGUUUUCGCGCAUUAAGCUCAGGAAUACGUUUAUUUGCUAAUAUGAUGGCCGGUCAUAGUUCAGUAAAGAUUUUAAGUGGGUCCGCUUGGACUAUGCUAUGUAUGAAUAAUAUUCUCUAUUUCAUAGGAGAUCCUGGUCCUUUAUUUAUAGUUCUUGCAUUAACCGGUUUGGAAUUAGGUGUAGCUAUAUCACAAGCUCAUGUUUCUACGAUCUCAAUCUGUAUUUACUUGAAUGAUGCUACAAAUCUCCAUCAAAAUGGUUAUUUAUUUAUAAUUGAACAAAAGCGAAAAUCAAGCUCCAGAUCCUAGGCUAAAAUCAAGGCGGUCGAUCGAGUGGAAGAGUGGAAAUAAGGCAUGUCCGGAUAAGUCAAUGUUCUCAAAUUCAGGCUCAAGAUGAGAUUCUUUCUUUUCUGGCCUUAGGCGCAAAGAAUAUUGCGAUGCGAUUGCCUUCUAUAUAUUCUUUGCACCUUCGGACCGGCAAAAAGAAAGGUCAAGAUGACAUUCUUGAUUUAGGAGCGAAGCAUGAAAAGAAGAGAUAAAUAAAGUGUUAAGGAGCGCAAUCAAUGAACAAAGGAGGUCGGAUCGUCCUUUAAGUUUCAUGGCUUUCCUGAGAAGGAGCUUCAAGCUCUCACUCAGAUACAUCGGGUCAGACAUAAGAAGGGGAGGGCCAGUAUGAUCUCUUUCCGUUGAGGAUCAAAGUCGCAUAUUUCAUUGCGCCUCCUUCGGUUAAUUACGGAUGGUCCUACUUCCAUAUGGAUAGUCCUACGGAUAAGAAUCCUCCGGACUCCGGACUACUUCGGUUAAUUACGGAUGGUCCUACGGAUAAAUCACCUGGACCUUUCUUUGGCCCAUAUGGAUGGUCCUACGGAUAAAUCACCUGGACCUUUCUUUGGCCCUGCGGACUGCGGACUCCGGACUACGGAUAAAUCCUGCUUCUAAUGGAUAGUCCUACUUCCAUAUGGAUAGUCCUACGGAUAAGAAUCCUCCGGACGUAGGACCCUGGACCUUUCUUUGGCACGUAGGACGGGAGAGUUGUCUUUCUUCUUUCUCUCUGAACCCCACUACGCGGUUUCCUCUUCUUCUUUUUAGUAGGCUUCAUUAAAUUAAGCUACGUAGGACUCUUUAUCAAUGAUUUAUCGUCUUCUCUCUCUUUUCUCAGAGUAGGUUCUAGGGUUGGGUUCUGGACUUCACUAAAUAUUCCACUUUUCUUAUCAAGAACUCCUUCUUUCUACUGGGAAAUUGUGCAUUUGAACUAAUCAAUGGCGGAUGGGGGUUCAUUCGAGGGUCGGCUGAUCUUGAAUGAUAAGAAAAGGAGUAGAAGAGCUUUACCAGAGCCUUAGCGAGAGGUUGCUAAAGCGCUGGGUGAGGGACAAUUGGUGAGCCGUAUGAUGGGCAGAGUCAUAGGUUUCGAGGGCUAAGAGAGAGAGAAUGAGAGAAGAAAGAUACCGGAAGCCGCCACUUGAUAGGCUCCUUCUUCUUUCUUUUCUUUCUUCUUCGGUCUGAAUAUCCCUUAUGCUUGCAUUGGCCAAAGAAAUCUGCAUUCUUUGACUUUUAGAUCUCAAUCCUAGUUUAUCCCAUUCUUUCUCCUUUAAAGCGCCAAUUUGCGACCCACGGAGCGCUUUUCAAUAUUCUUUCUCAGGCAAUAUCAAUAUUCAGGUUUCUCGCAAUAUUCUCAAAUCAAAUUUCGAGCAAUAUGGGCCUUCUACGCGGUCGAAGACUUCUUCCUCCCAGUUCUAGCGGUCCCUCUCCCUACGGUCGAGCUAUUUCAUCCCUCUCCCUACGGUCGAGCUAUUUCAUCCCUCUCCCUACGGUCGAGCUAUUUCAUCCCUCUCCCUCUUCCUACCCCCUGUUUGGCCGGCCUUUCUUACUUCAACUUCUGGAGCUUUCUCUCUUUUAUAAGGCGAAAGACUGACCUCGAUCGAUAUUCCACAUCUCCUCUCGCGGGGAUUCUGGGUCCAGCAUCUCAUGGUCUACAUGAUGAUCUUGGAAAGAUUUGGACACCAAGGCAGAACCAUUGAAUACGGAGAAGGGUAGAUCACCCCGCCGAUUCUCUUCUGACUUUCUUAUCUUUUUGUGAUGCUGCCCGCUUUAUUCUCAUCCUGAGUGAUAGCACAUAUAAUUCCCCUAUUUCAGUCUGACUCCAUAAUCCGACCCCUUGUUCAUUGAGGCGGUCAAUCCGGCCGGCCUUCAAGGCGCCGUCCUACGCAGGUGCUGCGAGAACCUUUACCAAGUCUGACUCGGUCGGGUUAAGAAUACCUGACCCUUUCCUAUUCAAGAGCGGACUCUUACUCAAGAUCGGAAUUCUUGGUCUUACCCUUGCUCAGAACCCUAUUUAUAGUCUUUCAAGAAGUAGGUGCUACACCCCCAUUCCAGUGAACCCCAUCAGUCCGGGAUCGCUAUCGGUCUCUAACCUAUUUUUCUCAGUAUCCACUCUUCACCCUUAAUCAGAGAUAUGGUAAAGCCUGCUAGUCUUCCUCAUUCCUCUUCGGAAACUCUUAUUCCGGGGUGGACGAAUACCUUUGGCCUCGCUACCCUAUUCGGAAAGAGAGAAUGAGAAGGAGGCGUAAACUCUCUCAUUCUAAUAGUACUCUUCCCCUGCUUCUUUAUCUCCUGAUCCCCUUUCUUUGGCCCUAUUCAGGUCGAAAGCUUUCGCUUUCAGUGUCUGACGAAGGAUCUCAUACUUUCCCCUAGCAAUAUGCUAAGCUCUGACUCCCCUUUAAUGAGGCGUAGAUCCCGCUCCGUGGGCAACUUUCUCAGCAGCCAGGGCUACGGCUCGGUCUCAUUCAAAGAUCUUGGUACUGAACCCACUGCCUCGAUGCGGGACCCCUUCUCUGGCAUGAAUCCACGGCAGGUUGAAGGAAGUCGGGAUGGCGCCAGGCCUCUGAAGAAUUCUUUACCUACACAAAAGAGAGAAUUCGGCCAGUUCAGGCGUCUACCUCAUCGCGAGAAGACUUCCUUGACGGAUUCCUAUUUGCUUCUUCCGAUCCGUGGAGACGGAUAACCUGGGGAGCCUACUCAGCCUAUGAAAGACUGAUCCCUAUCCGAGGACAUAGUAGUCGAGCGUGAACCCUCUUAACCCACUACGCGGGAAAUCUGGCCCGGCUGGUCGACUUUCUUCGAACCUAGGUCUGGGAGUCUCGCCUUUUCUUUAUUUCGCAACCUUAUAUUACCUUUCCUUCAAGUACUCAUUUGAUUAGGAGUCGGAUGGGCUGAUUAUUGCGGACUCCCGCUCCGUGGGAAUUCGUAUUUCAAUUAGGUUCUGGAAUUUGAAGGUCAACUCCUUCGCUAUCACUUUUCUGGUCUAGCCUUAUCAUAAAGAGGGUCGUCUCGCAGCCUAAUCCGAAACCUCAUUCCUGGAGGCCUUUCGCUUACCGCUCCGUGGGAGGGUAAGGCACUACUACUAUUUGAGAAUUAGCCUUUUGAAGAGCUGAAACUCUAAACCUAUGGAAUCAGACUCCUUGGCUGGGUGAAGCAGCGGACUGAGGAUCUAAUUGCAGGAUAGCCGCCAGUGGGUGGGGUUGGUUGGCUUCUAGAAAUUAGCCGAAUAGGAGGGCUCUCAUUUAUGAUUAUGAUCCUUAUCUUUCAACUGAAGAAAGAAUAUCCUCCAAGGCCCAUUCUUAGUCUCGCUCAAUCUCCCACUCGGACUCUACAAAGCCUAAGAGUUCGGCGCGGACGAUUGUCUUGGAUGAAAGAAUAGCUCUCACUCUCAUUCAAGAUCGAAAAGAAGAGAAUUACGGUAUUUCUGAAAGUCACUCCUCAAAUUCUUUGAGCCUCGUAUUCGCUCAGCAAAGAGCUACUGCAUUCCCUCUCGUUCAUUCUCUCGCUACUGAAUUCCUCAACGGGUAUCGAUUUCAUUCCGAAACCUUUCUUCUUCUUCUCGUGAAAGAUCCUAAUUCUUAGUUCAUGCUGGAGCUAACCUCUCCUGAGAAUGAGAACUCUGAUGAAUGAAAUACCAUGACGAAUCUACUCUACUCGGGACAUAGGCUUCUGACCCGCUCCGUGGGCUCCCCUCCCUCUUUUGGUCUCGACAAGGUUCCCCGCCAGACUAUGACUCUUGAUCUUUCUUCCGAAAGAGAGGAAAUAAUCUUUUCAUCGAAAUCACUCCCCAACUCGGCCAACUAAGCAGCAAGAACUCGGUUUCUGGGUAGAAAGAAGUCAAAGAAGAGUGAAAAGAGCUAUGAUGGUCGCGCUUUCUCUUGUUGUUAUGAAGAGAGUUCUUUCUUUCUCAAUCGGUAAUAAUACCCAAAGGGCUACUGCGGUACCAACCGGAAGAAAAUCAGUCAAAUCCCUUUUCUUCUUUCUUUUCUUUGUGUCCGGCGGAUGUCUUAUAAAUCGUCUCUCUUUCAUGAUCCGUUGCGGAAGGGUACGCAACUCGAUCGGUCCUCCGGACUAUUCGCUAUUCGGUAUUGAAAAGAAAGGCGUAUUUCAAUCAAAUUCACCCGAAGCAGAAUAAGCAGCGGAAUAAAUCGGGGCGCGAGACUAACCUAAAGGGGAAGAAGCAGUACCUUUGUUCUUGUUCCAGUCGAGUUUCAAUUCAAGAGUUGAGGAAAAGCCGAUGUAGUUUUGUCGCUGAGGCUCAACCGUAUCUCUUCCUUCUUAAGCCUCUUCUAGAUUUGAUACUAGAAGUCGCUUUUCUUGUUCUUGAAUAGGCAGAUCGAGAACGAAGAAUAAGAACAAGACUCAAAUCAAAGGAAGAAAGGAAUCAAAGAGGUUCCUUCCAGAAGUGCUAGCCCUUGUUCAUUGGGAAUAAAGAAUAGACCUCUCUUUCUCCGGACCACAAACUCAAACAAAAACGAUAAUCAAACUAUGUUCAUUUCUGUCCUAGGACAAUGCCUUGCAAUUUCCCGGCUUUUUUGAAGCAAAAUAGGACUAAAUAUCAUCUUUCUAUUUAACGAAAAUAGAGAAAAAAAGAAGGCAUUUGACUUGAUUUCUUGCUACUUCCCUAUGGGCAAAACCUAGCAUUUUCCGGGAUUUCCCUCCGUCUUCAAUCUCCAAAUCAAUGAAGGAGUACAAUGAAAUCAUAAUGAUUCUUGAAUUCGAGUUAAUGUUAAUGAGCUUCUUUUCGUCAAUAUUCUAUAUUCUUUUCACCUUUCUUUCUCCGUCCUCAGUCCUAUCCAUAUUAACCCGUCUGUCCUUCGGACGGGGGAUUUGAAUACUAUUACUUCUUAUUUGACGUUAGGAGCUUUGAAUUUGCGAAGCGCUCGGAGAAUCAGAAUAGAAUGAGAGAGAGGAUUGGGACCGAAGGACAGCCGUACCCACCUACCCCGAACCCUGUAACCACAGCUAUGCCUAACCACUAGGCCUAAGCAAAACCUUGUUCCCUGUGCACUAAAGAACCCAAGAACUCUAGUUCAAUCUCAUUCUCUCCUAACCCAGUACCCGUUCCACGCUAUAAGCGCCUUGGCGUGAGACGAUCUGACGAUCUUUCUGACCUAUUGAUCUACUAAGACAAUUCUACAGCUUCAAGAAGAGAAAAGCCAAUCCCCUAAUUUCAGGGCCAUGAAGGGAGAGCUUCUAAUUCCGCUUCGGACCAAUUCUUGAUUCUCGUACUUCUGAAAGCGAUCUAGCGGACUAUGCGGGGACUCAAGGGGAAUGCCCAACUAUUUACGUAAAUCAAUGAAGAAAUCAGCCACGCAAUAGGCCUUACCAGAGAGAGAUCUAGAUCUUAUCCUGCUGACUCCUCAAGACGCGCACCCCUAUUUAUUUAUUUAUGGAUGUUCAUUGUAUUAAGCUACGAAGGCCCGAAGCGAAGCGACUGGAAGGAUAGAAGGUACUCGGCUUUCUACCCACUCCGCGGUGCCAUAAGACAGGUCCGAAGGACAGACGGGUUAAUAUGGAUAGUCCUUCGGACUGACUCCGCCAUAAAAGAUAGGGGGGAUGAAUGAGUGCCAGGAUCUUGUGAGGCUUCGGAGAGAAUACGUCUUUCUAUGAUUCCUCUUCUUUCUGCCCUAUGAAGACCGAAACGAAUAAUCAAAAAAAGAAGCUCGUAGGGAUAGGGGAAUCCAAUUCAAUACCGUCCAUCCUUACUAAGGAUGCGCUUUCUUCGGCUGCUUCAGUGAAUGCACCAACCCCUACGAUUGAUUCUGUCUUUUCCCUUGCCCCGAACUGGUCUCGAUCGAUCCCAUCCCGAUAGCCUGUCAGAAAAUAAAUAGAGAAAGAAGAAAGUAAUUCAGUCUGAUCCCUUUUUCUGAUUCCCGAUCUGAAACAAAGACGAAUGAGAACAGUCAAUUCACUCAAAGAAAUCCCCAUGUUCUGAACACCGAUGUGUACUUUAAGAUGUCGCCCUAGGCUCACUGGUACGAGAGAAAAUGCUUUAGGAAGGGGGCCCCAUAAAUAAGGUGGAACUCCGGCCGGCGCACCCAGCUUAUUAAUUCCUUCCCGUCCCAUAACAAGAUUGAGUUCCAAUCUAAUCGAUAAUUCUUUGAGCCCUCCGUUAGGCGCAAAGAAUAUUGCGAGACCGGUCCUACGUCCGGAGUCCGCAGUGCCAAAGAAAGGUCCAGGGUCCGGAGUCCGCAGGAUUCUUAUCCGGAGUCCGGAGGAUUCUUAUCCGUAGGACUAUCCAUAUGGAAGUAGGACCAUCCGUAAUUAACCGAAGGAGGACCAUCCAUAUGGAAGGAAGGACUUCUUUCUCCAUUAGUUUUUCCAUAUUAACUUCUUCCUUUCUUAAGGCGAGCUAAAAGAUUCCUCUUCCAGCUUCCUCUUACUAAAUGUAGGUCGAGUUAUUGAAUUCCUACAUAUGAAUAAUUGGUCGUAUGAGCACCGAGUCAACUCAUUCAAUGAUCUAGGCCGACCCUUUACAGUCUCGGUCAAUUACAAUUACAUCGCCCCAAUUGUCUAUCGGUAAAUCGGACAAGAAAGAAGGUCAAUCCGGUCCUUUGUUAGCAGCUACUGAAGGUCAAUCUGGCCUAGCCCCUUAGUAUUGGUAGAGCAGGCUCUUUGUCGAGUUUCUUCCCGGACCCUCAAAAUAGAGUAUAGAGUGAGAGCUUAGCUUCUUUCCGAUCCAUUCCAAUGCUACCCCUUCAAGCCGCGCCUAUUUCCUAUUAAUUAAGUUCCGCCUUAAAGGCCCAAUUCCAAGUUGUGAAAGAUGGCCUUGACUUUCUUCUUAGUGUAUUAGAAUACAUAUUCCCAAAGAAGAGAGGAUAGAGAGUCCGCUUCCGCUCGAGUGUGAGAACUAGGGCCCACCGCUCCGUGGGUAAUGAGAUCUUUGGUCCCAUUGAGUCUUUGAAGGAUCAGUGGAAGCUCCUUCUUUAAUGAAAUAGGUGAAGCAUGAAGAGCUAAGCCACUGACGAACCCUUUCUGCGCGUAUGAGGUUUCUGGAGAUAUCUGCUCGGCGCACUUCCCGGUAGAAAAAGAGUCUAAGAAAGGAGCAAAGAAUUUGCGUGGAUGUAUAAGGAUCCCAUUUACCCCUUUCCUUUCUCUGGUUGAUAAGCUUGAUAAGAGAACCCUUGAAAUCAGAGGGAUUUAACCUAACCGUCUUCUUGACUAAGAAAUGAGUAUUGACCUCAUCAAAUGCAGAAAAAUGCCUUGAUUUUAGUAGCGAUAUGGUGUGCCCUCUACUUCUGCCCAGUCUCUAAUGCCUGCAGCAUUAAGGGAUGACUUAAGAUCUGGUCUCACAGCUGAACUUCCGAUCCUUAAUAGUCUCGACCCUUGUUCAUUGAUUCGAUCUUCUAAACUUUUAACCUGCUUAAGCAGCGGGGAGUUUCUUCCUCUUUUCUUUGACCGGAGUGAAAAUAGAGUAUUUAUUACGCACUAUUUCUAUGUUCUCGCUUACGUGUUCUGGAAAGUUCCCAAGAACGAAUGCAAAUUAAUAGGGCACAUUAAUAUACAUUAAAUAAUCAGCUGAAAGAACGGACGCAACAAGGACUACAGCAAGAACCGUGGCCCAUUAGGGUGGAGUUCAUUCUGGAAACCUUGGCUUUCUUCUUCCACACAAGGGUCAAAGAAUUUGAGUCCUGCCUUGAUUCGCGGGGUUUUGAAAGAAAAUGAGUUCAAGCUAGCAGGGGUCGGACCUUUCGCUGAGAGAACAACUGUGAUUCUGCAAAUCAAAUACCCGCUCUAUCGGCUUGCUGGGAUUAUGGAGGGGGAAUCCUUUCUUUAGUUAUCAUUAAUUUCUGAGAUAAAAGAGAGAGAAGGUUCCAACAAAGGAUGUGCCUUAUGUUCGCGUGCCCAAGCUCGUACUUCUUCAACAGGGAGACCCCUUUUUACAGGGAAUUAGAUUGAAGAGAUGAUAAUAAUUGAAUUAGAGCAUAUUUAGAGAAAAUAGUACUUUGAGAGUCCGAAGGACUGAUUUAUUCCACUUAAGUUAGGAUGAGAAGUUAGCGCUUAAAGUAGAUGAUCAAAGAGAACUAAAUGGGCGAUCAACGGCUAAAAAGAGAGAGUGAGAGCUUAGCUUCUUUAUCUACUCCAACUGCUUCCUCCACGGGGAGAGGUGGGGAUUGGAGAAGGGUCUUGAGCUGCUCGUAUGCGUCCUGAGAGAAAGUGCCAUUUCACGAGGUCGAAAGAGGAUAGACAAAGAUUUCCCAGGACAUAGAGAAAGAGGCUAUUAGCCGACGUCUCCUACGCCUUGCUUACCGAUCUCACGAACUACUUCUCCAUCCCGACGAUACGAUACAUCUAAUUACCGACGGAGCGGUAGAUGGGCCCUCAAAUAGCAGCUUUGUCCCACUCGAGCGGGUUAGGAGGUGGAGUCACUGUUGGGGAAUUCGACAGGAAUUCUCUUUUUAGGCGGAGCCUUUCGGUUGCAGUUCUUGUUCGCCUUCCCGCGUAGUGGGUACCGUAUGAGGUUUUAGUUGCCUUAGAAAAAAAAGAGGUAAGAAAGAUCAUGAUUUCGUAAGGCAAGGCCAGUUUGAUUCAUUCUUUGACUUUGAAUUAAUGGGUUUUAGUAGGGUCCUUUGUCCUCUUUGCGCUCCUUAAUAGUAAUAGUCGCUUGGCUUCGCAUCUUCAUAUUUGUAAUAGUCUUCGUCUAGUGGAAUUCUUUCGUUGCACUCCGUCCUCUUGACUCCUUUUCUCUCUUCUUUUCAUGCCUUUCGUAAACUCUUUCUUCAUUGAUUCAGUUUUUUUUCUCGCUAUUUCAUAAUGCACUCCUUCUUAUUGGAUAAGGAAGGAAUGAGCUUGAAACUCCUCGCAUAUUGAAUUGGGCCUCUACAUUAUUUGAUUUUGAGUCGAGUUAUUUCAUAACCUCCGGACCGUCCUCUUGACUCGUCUUUUCUCUUUCUAUUAUAUUUGAUAUUUGGUUUAGUGGAAUCUGACUCCGUAGGAGGCUUCGCAUCUUAAUGUUUUAUAUAGUCUUUUCAAAUCAUAAGAACCUUGCCGUAGGUCGUUUUCUCAAUCAUAAAGACCUCUUUACUCUAAAAGGUCGGAUCGUCCGCUGUACCCGCCCACUACGCGGUUGAAAGAUCAGUUUCUCUUUCUGUCGUUGUGGCAAAGCCAUUAUUCUAAAUAUGGUAUAUUCACGAGUAGGAUGAAAUACGGAUUGAUGAAAAAGUCAAUUCAGAGUUCUGGGACAAAGACUCCCAGAAACCGGAGGCAAGGUUAUUCCAUAGCGAGACCGGUCCGGAGGCUCAAAGGAUAUUGAGCGAUGGCGCAAAGAAUAUAUAGAAGGUGCGGGUUAUUCAAAUUUCAGGAUCAGGACUCUAAGAAUAGACCUCUCUUUCUCCGGAACACAAACUCAAACUAGAAGUGAGAAAUGUGAAUUUCUGGGAUAGGAGUUCUUCUUGAAUUGCUAUUUCCCGGCUUUUUUGCUUCUUUUUCAUAGUUUUUCUCAUAUUGAUAUUUAACGAAAAUAGAUCAAUUUUGACUGAUUUUUUGUCUUUUCUUGCUACUUCCUAUGGGCAAAACCUUGCAAAAUCAUGUAUUUCACUCCGUCAAAAAGACUAAAAUCGAUGUCUGAAAUCUCCCAUAUUCACCUCUUUCUUUUUCAUUCCCAUUUUUUUCUUCUUUCAUUAUCGUUAAUGAGUUCAUUCUUUCUCUCAACUCCUCUUGAGAUAAUUCUUUGAGCCUUCCUGAUGGAUAGUCCUUCGGACCUGUCUUAUGGAACCAACCUCUCCUUACAGUCGAGCCGCUUUCGCUCCUCUCCUCGAUCAAGAGGUUAUUAGUCUCAAAGGAAGAGGAAGUAAUAUAAUAGCUCGACGUUCAAGGGCACAUACUGAGUUUACGAAGAAGAGGAGAAAUGAGUUUACGAACGAUCUAGGGAAGAGUUGAAUCUUUUCUUGCUGUGGAAGUAGCUGAAUAAGGCUCUUUCUGAAGUGGUUGAAGGAGAGGUUCUAGCUUUUCUUGUUCCGGUUUCAUAAGUGGCAGUGGACAUUGGCAGCCUCAGCUGCUAUCUCUCUUGCCCAAGCAAGGCAAAUAUCAAGGCUUAAAACGAGAAAUCCUGGGAUUGUAAUGUCCCAGUUGGUUAGUCUCUAAUACUGUGAUUUGACUAUUUCAUGAUUCCACGUUCUUUAAGGAAGAAAGGUCAGACGGAGAAGUCAGAUAAUCAGCCGUAGCCCAUCCAAUAAGGAAGAACAGACUAAAAAGUCAGAUAAGACUUAAGGCGCGAAGCGACAACCUACUAAACCUACGGCAGAACUGGAGGCAAGGGGCGAAGAGAAGAUACCGUAGGUCAGACUAUUACAAAGAAGAAGAAGACGAUAAGACGAUCAGACGAUAUUGAAUGCUCCGAAUCGUCUUCCUUCCGGCUUUCCCUUCUUUUUUCUUCUGGGGAAUCUUCCCCCUUAUCUUUUUCCGGCUUUCUCGGAAAGAUCCCUUGAACUGUGACUGGGCUGCGCCUUUGAUUCUGAGUACUUUAUCUAAGAGUACUUUAUCUAAGAGUUCUCGAUCCGAGUAGAUCGUAGAUCGGAUCGGCUUUGCCUUUUCUUUUCCUUCUUUAUCCGGGGAAUCCUCCCCCUUGACUUUAUCCGGUAAAUUCCCCUUGACUGACUUAGGGGCCGAGAGGUACUAGCUCGGUAUCGUCAUUCCCUUCUUCGAGAUCUACGAUCGGUAUCGGCUUUGCCUUUUCUUUUCCUUCUUUAUCCGGGAAAUUGUCCUUGACUUAGGGGCCUUCCGGCCUCGACUCCUUCUUCUUCUUUAUGCUGUGGGGAAACCUUCCCCUUACCUUUUUCUUCUGGGGAAUUCCCCUUUACCUAGGGGCCUUUAGGCCUCCUUCCCUUCUUUUUCCUCUGGAGAAACCUUCCCCUUAUAGUAGUUCCCUUCUUUUUCCUCUCUCAAAUUCUUUGAUCCUCCCCUUUCAAUCAAGGAAGUUGCCGAUAGGCCUCGACUCCUUCCCUUCUUUCUCCUCUGGGGGAAUCCUCCCCCUUGACUUUAUCCGGCUUUCUCUUUUGUCUUCCUUCCGGCCGGCGGCCUUUGCCUUAGUUCGUGGUAGAUCCGAGGAGAUCGGAUCGGCUUUGCCUUUUGUCUUCCCCCUUAUCUUUAUGCUGUGGGGAAACCUUCCCCUUAUAGUAGUUCCCUUCUGUAUCCUGUGGGGAAUGCUCCCCUUUCAAUCAAGGAAGUUUCCGAUAGGCACUGAAGGAAAGUCAAGGCCGAUAGGCUAAGCUCUUGACUCAUUCAUUCCAUAUUACUAGAACCCAGAAGACGAUUCCGUCUGAUCGUCUUCUUUCCUCAAUAUUCUUUGAACCUGAUUUUGCUUUAUUCUUUGGGGAAUCUUCCCCCUUAAAUAACUAAAGUCCGAUAGGUACCUUCUUUAUUUCAAUCAAGGAAGUUGCCGAUAGGCACUCAAGGAAAGGGCCUUUAGGCCGAGAGUCGGCUUUGCCUUUUGUCUUCCUUCUUUCCGGCUUUGCCUUAUCUUAUUAUAUUAGUUCGUGGUAGAUCCGAGGAGAUCGGAUCGGCUUUGCCCUUUUGUCUUCCUUCAGUGAACAGGAAAGUGCUGGAGUUGUACGUAUCUACUGCCUUGCCCACUUGUUCAGGGGAUCGGCCCAGGCUAGAAGAAUGAUCCUAGAGCGUGGCGCCUCGAAAACAAACUUUUUGUGAAUAUCUCAUCAGCUCCGUCAUGAAAAAUCAUGAAAGGAGGCGCCAUUACGGUUCCUCAAGCGGAGAGCGCGCCCCGGGAGUCUAACCCGGUCGUCUCGCCAAGAUAAGAGAGUACGGCGCCGUGCAAGGAUUUACCUCUUCUCUUUGCCCUUCCUCUCCAUCUUGUUUCUCACCUGACCUUGCAUAGUUUCGAUCUGUCUGCAAGAACCCGAUUAGCUGAUUGAUUCUUCGUUUGUAUGAGUGCGGGACGCUCCAUCAAUUCACCAACAGAAAUAAGGAGCCCCCAUACAAUCAAUAGUCGAUACGGGCUUUCGUCCCGUAAAGCGCAUGGGGCACGUUCUAGGAUGGAGGAUGGGGUUCUUCUAGGUACGUAGCAAUCCAUACUUUCUACUAUUCACUGAUUCGUUCUUGCCGAAAGAAGGACGUACCGACCUCACUUCCUUCCGACAAGGGCUCUACCUCUACUUCUGAAACUCAAAACGUCGGACCUUGGUCGCUUUAUACAGAGGAUCCCAGAGGGCUUGAUUGCUCAAGAGCCGUAGGAUUUCCCUCCCUGGUACCCAUGCUAAGGUGUUCUUAGAAAUUCUCCUUACAAGAGAUUCCGUACAAGUGUAAGUUACUUUUCUAAGAGGAACCUUAACUAUGAUGCGGAUUCAAUUGGCAUCUCCCUGCUCUAUGGUCUUUACACGACCGAGUCUAAAUGUCCCCCUCCCAGUACCUAUUACCUUCAGUCCCAGGGCUUCGGAUUUUGAACUGCGUCACCUACGUCAAUAUUCUUUGAACCUUGGUACUACGAUCGGAGAUCAGAUCAAAAAGGCUCUUUUCCGGCUUUCUCUUUUCUGUCCUCCUUCCGGCCGGCCUCAAUAUUCUUUGAACCUUCUUUAUCCGUGGAAUCUUCCUUUUCUGCCUUUCCCGCUCCGUGGGCGUAGUUCGUGGUAGAUCCGAGGAGAUCGGAGAUCGGAUCCUAUCGCCUUUCCCUUUUGUCUUCCGAGAGUCGGCUUUGCCUUUUCUGUCUUCCUUCCGGCUUUCCCUUUUCUUUUCCUUCUUCGAAAUAUUCUUUGACCCUGAAAGUAGUUCCCUUCUGAGAGAUCGGAUCGGAGAUCGGAUAGGUACCUCCGUUAAAUCAAGGAAAGUCAAGGCCUUCCGGCCUCGAGUCCUUCCCUUCUUUCUUCCCUAGAUCCGAGGAGAUCGGAGAUCGGAUCGGUAUCCGCUUUCCCUUUUGUCUUCCUUCCGGCCGGCCGGCUUUCCCGCUCCGUGGGCGUAGUUCGUGGUAGAUCCGAGGAGAUCGGAGAUCGGAUCCUAUCUGCUUUCUCUUUUGUCUUCCUUCCGGCUUUGCCUUACCCUGAGUUCGUGGUACCCUUUAUUUCAUUUAGGGUCCGAGAGUCGGCUUUGCCUUCUUCUCGAUUCAUUGACUCGGAUUCAACCUUCAAACUUGCUGGCUGUCUUCCUUCUUUAUCCUGUGGGGAAUCCUCCCCCUUGACUUUAUCCGAAGAAUUCCCCUUUACCUAGGGGCCUUUAGGCCUCCUUCCCUUCUGAGAGAUCGUAGAUCGGAUCGGCUUUGCCUUUUGUCUUCCUUGAGAGUAGGCUUUCCCUUUUUCAUAGAGUUCGUGGUACCCUUUAGUUAGGGGCCCUCCGGCCGAGAGUCUGCUUUCCCUUUUUUUUCUUUUCCUUCUUCGGGGAAUUAAGUAGUUCCCUUCUUUAUCCUCUAGGGAAUCUGAAAUCAAGGAGGUUGCCGAUAGGGACCGAACCUAUUCCUUCCCCUUACCUUAAAUCAAGGAAAGUCAAGGCCUUUAGGCCGAGAGGGACUAGCUCGGUAUCGGCUUUGCCUUCUUCGAGAUCGGAGAUCGGAUAGGCACUUUCAAUCAAGGAAAGUCAAGGCCUUUAGGCCGAGAGUAGGCUUUGCCUGAUUUAUCCCUUUAUCCUGUGGGGAAUCCUCCCCCUGACCUUGAAAGGAAAGUCAAGGCCUUUAGUUUAGGCCGAGAGUGAGAGUAGUUCCCUUCUGAGAGAUCGGAUCGGAGAUCGGAUAGGAUGCCUGUCUUCCUUCCUUCCGAGAGUCGGCUUUGCCUUCCGGCCGGCUUUGCCUUUUUCAGAGAGUUCGUGGUACCCGGUCCGAGAGUCUGCUUUCCCUUCUGAGAGAUCGGAGAUCGGAUCGUAGAUCGGAUGCCUGUCUUCCUUCUUUCUCCUGUGGGGAAUCCUUCCCCCUUAAAUAAGUAAAGUAAAGGCCUUUAGGGACCGAACCUAUUCCUUAGCCUUAAGUCAAGGCCUUUAGGCCGAGACUCCUUCCCUUCUUCCUUCCCUAGAGGAGAUCGGAUAGGGACCUUAAAGAAAUAAAGGAAACUAAAGGCCUUUAGGCCUUGAGUCUGCUUUCCCGCUCCGUGGGCUUAGUUCAUGGUAGAUCCGAGGAGAUCGCAGAUCGGAUCGGCCCUUUUGUCUUCCUGAGAGAGUCGGCUUUGCCUUUUUCAGAGAGUUCGUGGUACCCCUUAAAUCAAGGCCUUUAGGCCGAGAGUCUGCUUUCCCUUUUCUUUUCCUUCUUUAUCCUGUGGGGAAUGCUCCCCCUUAAAUAAAGGAAGUUAAGAUAGGCAUCUCCUUUAAAUCAAUGAAAGUCAAGGCCGAUAGGCCGAGAGUCCUUCCCUUCUUCGAGAUCUACGAUCGUAUAGGUACCUCCUUUAAAUCAAGGAAGUUAAGAUAGGCACUCAAGGAAAGGAAAGUCAAGGGUAAAGGCCUUCCGGCCUCGAGUCCUUCCCUUCUUCCCUAGAUCCGAGGAGAUGAGAUCGCAGAUCGGAUCGGUGUCUUCCUUCCGACCGAAAGUCGUCUUUGCCUUUUGUCUUCCUUCUUUCCGGCUUUGCUUUCUUCGAGAUCGGAGAUCGGAUAGGGACCUCCUUUAUCUUCUGGGGAAUCUUCUCCUUAUCUUUUUCCGGAAAAUUCCCCUUAACUUAACUUAGGGGCCGAUAGGCACCUUAAAGCAAUCAAGGAAAGGUUCUACCUUUACUUUAGAGAGGUACUAGCUCGGUAUCGUCUUUUCCUUCUGUAUCCUGUGUGUGGGGAAGAUUCCCCCUUAUCUUUCAUAGGGGAAUUCCCCUUUACUUAGGGGCCUUCCGGCCGAGACUCCUUCCCUUCUUCGAGAUCGUAGAUCGGUAUCGUCUUUCCCUUCUUUUUCUGUAUCCUUUGGGGAAGAUUCCCCUUAAAUCAAGGAAGUUGCCGAUAGGCACCGCUCCGUGGGGGAUUCCUUCCCCUUUGCCGAGAGUCCUUCCGUCCGAGAGUGGGGAAUCCCUGAGAUCGGAGAUCGGAUCCUAUCGUCUUUGCCUUUUGUCUUCCUUCCGGCCGGCCCUUCCCUUUUUCAGAGAGUUGUGGUACCCGGCCGAUAGGGCCCGGGAAACCUUCCCCUAUUUAGGUUCCGAGAGGGACCGACUUUGCUUUGCCUUUUCUUUUCCUUCUUUAUCUGUGGAAUCUACGAUACCCAAAGGCCUUCCGGCCGAGAGUGGGGAAUCCCUGAGAUCGGAGAUCGGAUCCUAUCUGCUUUCUCUUUUGUCUUCCGAGAGUAGGCUUUCCCUUACCGCUCCGUGGGUUCGUGGUACCCGGGCCGAUAGGCCGAGAGUGAGAGUAGUUCCCUUCCUUAUCUGGGGAAUCCCCCUUUUCCGGCUUUGCCUUACCCGCUCCGUGGGUUCGUGGUACCCGGGCCGAGAGUGGGCUUUGCCUUCAGAGAGAUCGGAUCGUAGAUCGGAUCGGAUGGCUGUCUUCUUUCUCCUCGGAUGGCUGUCUUCUUUCUCCUGUGGGGAAUCUUCCCCCUUAUCUUAUCUUUAUCCGGGAAACCUCUUCCCCUUAGAGUAGUUCCCUUCUUUCUCCUGUGGGGAAUCCUCCCCUUUAAGGAAGUUUCCGAAGAAAUAAAGUCAAGUCAAGCAAGGCCGAUAGGCCGAGAGUGAGAGUAGUUCCCUUCUUCCCUAGAUCCGAGGAGAUCGUAGAUCGGAUCGGUCUCUUCCUUCCUUCCGGCCGGCUUAGGAGAUUUCCUGGAAAAAGGAUGGGAUUUGAUCAAAUGGUCUUGAUUUUGACUUCGGAGACGAUAGGCAGGCAGGGCAGAAAGUAGAAGAUACAUUUUUUCUUGCGCGAGAUCCAGCAAAGAAAGAAAGAGCCGGAACAGAUCGAAGAACGAGAAUCUUCCACCUCUUUCAACCGCUCUCUCCUUGCCCGGAAUGAUACCCGAUACGCAACAUCUCUUUCUAACUUUCCCCUACGAACUUCUUGGAACUCAUACAUAGCUUGACUAAGAGAAUCUAAAGUAAAGGCUUGCCGCUCCUUCGACUGAUUGAAAGCAUCGGAUCUCAGGUUCUCUAUUGCACUCCCUAAAUAGGGUUCGAAGAAGGGAGACUAGAGAGGAGAGGGUCAAAGUUCGGUUAAUUACGGAAAGUCCGACUUCGGUUAAUUACGGAUGGUCCUACUUCGGUUAAUUACGGAUGGUCCUACUUCCAUAUGGAUAGUCCUACUUCGGUUAAUUACGGAUGGUCCUACUUCCAUAUGGAUAGUCCUACGGAUAAGAAUCCUCCGGACCCUGGACCUUUCUUUCUUUAAUGGAUAGUCCUACGGAUAAAUCCUGCGGACUGCGGACUCCGGACUACGGAUAAAUCCUGCGGACUGCGGACCCUGGACCUUUCUUUGAUGGUGCGAAGGCGCAAAGAAUAUUGCGGUUUGGAGGAGAGGCUCAAUGUAAUAUGAGUUGAGGCGCAUGAAAUUCAGAGGUGCAAAGAAUAUUGCGAAAAGAGCGGUCGAAGAACUUAUUCUACAGAAAGAGCAGCCACAUCGUCUGGCCCAAGAGCCUACUUAAAUAAAAGAGGGUGAGGUCCCCAGGUGGUUCAUCGACUGAUUCCUCCCCCGCCCGGGCCUUUCUGACUCUUUCUUAUUCCGAAACUGAGACAGAUGAAAGGUGCCACUUCUUCCCCCUCUAAUUCUGCCUUUGAAUUCCCCAAUGAUCCUUGUUUUGAUUCAUUCAUGUGAGUGGCAGCAAGAAAAAGAGAGGCAAAUAACCGUAAUUAAGAGUCACAAACGAGUUCAGCUACCUUUCCUACCCCUCCAGAUCGAUCCCCCCAAAAACAAAGGGCUAGAUAAUAUUCUUUGCGCCUUCUGACUAUUCAUCCUAUUUCUUUAGGAGGACUCAUAUAAGAAUGUGGCCCCACUCCUAGGUUAGCGAGAAGGAAUCCGAAUCUCUGGAUUAGUGGAUUAAGAGCCAUGUUCGCUCGGUAGCUGCAGUGGUGGUUGAUGUCUCAUCCCUUCUUUCAGGUUUCGCUUCAUCGGCUGAGCCAGCUCUCGUCCUUUAGCUGGACAAACCUUCUUUCUUUCAUUGAAUUCCCCACGAAUACCGUGAAAAGGCAUGAAAACGUAAACCACUGAACUUAGUUCGCUAAGAGAAAGCCGUCAGUCCCAUAACAUGAAACUUAAGGAAAGAAUGCCCAACGGAGUCUUUCAUUUAAGCUAUUUCUUUGGUUCGGUAUUGAAUAACUAAAAGCGAGAGUUCUGGUUGGGGAAGAGUGGACGCGCCCUCAUUUAAGAGAAUUGGACGCCCCGCCCUGGCAAUAAUAGAGUCAGCGAAGCAUCGGGUAAGGGGACUCAGAUGAGACAGCCGCUGUGUCUCUUGAAGUACCACUUCUUUGAAUGCGACUAUGGGUUCAAUUCAUUCACGUGGAAUCGAGUCAAAUAACAGAAAUAGAGACUAAGCGGAGUACAUAAAUACGCCUUGAAUGCGGCCUUACGAUCUGCCCCAAGAUAAGAAGCAACUGAAGAAAGAGGAGGACAAGAAAAGCAACUCCAACUCCCACCGGACCACGAUACUUUUCAUUGACUUCUCUUCCCAACCGCUACGUGGGGUUAAAGAAAGAAUUCCUCUCCAAAGAAAAAUCGAGCCCUCACGCACCCGUCAGAAAUGGGAUAAAAUAGAUGGGAGAUAAAGGUGAUAAGAGCUCUAUGGGGAAAGAAGAAACCUACUCGAGCCGAGAUAGGAUGAGGCGCAACAAGAUUUAGUUCCAUUAAUCAGUCAGAAAGACAUUCUUUCUUUUUGUUAGGCGCAAAGUAAGCCCUUCUAAUUCCGGAGGAUUUAUCCGUAGGACUAUCCAUUAGGAGAGCUGAAAAGAAUAUAGUAGCAAGAAAUCAUGAAAAAUCAGUCAAUAAAGAAUAGACCCGUAUUUCUCCGGACCAGAAACUCAAAGUUUGAACAAACUAUGUGAAUUUCGAAAAUCAAAUAGGACAAUGCCUUGCAAUUUCCCGGCUUUUUUGCUUCUAAAUAGGACUUUUUCGACUUUUCUUAUCUAACGAAAAUAGAUCAAAAAUGACUGAUUUUUCAUGAUUUCUUGCUACUAUUUCUUUUCAGCUCUCCUUAUCAGUCGAGCCCAAAACCUAGCAAAAUCUUGUAUUUCCCUCCGUAAAAACAAGGUUAUGAAAUCCGAAUUAUUCUUGAAUUCGAGUUAAUGAGUGAAUUAUUCUUUUCUUUGAUUGACUUUGAACAGGUCCUUCGGCUAGGCGCAAAGUUCGGUUAAUUACGGAUGGUCCUACUUCGGUUAAUUACGGAUGGUCCUACUUCCAUAUGGAUAGUCCUACGGAUAAGAAUCCUCCGGACUCCGGACUACGGAUAAAUCCUGCGGACUCCGGACGUAGGACUACUUCGGUUAAUUACGGAUGGUCCUACGGAUAAAUCACCUGGACCUUUCUUUGGCCCUGCGGACGUAGGACCCUGGACCUUUCUUUGGCACUCCGGACUGGAUCUUCUAGGAGUUUUCUACCUUUCAAUUCUUGACUAUCAAAAGACCUACGGCAAGGGGUUGAUGAUGACGAAGACUAUGUAAAAGAUUAGUAUGCGAAGCCAAGCGACUGUAUAUAAUCUAAAAAGAAAGGACUCCCUAGGACUUAGGUCUUUAUGAUUUAGAAGACUAUCAUUUAAGAGGAGCGCAAUUCAAUAUUCUUUGAACCUUCGGAAAAGAUGAACCGAAAAUCGAUUAGAUUAUGCUGAAGGAGGGAGCGCAAAGAGGACGACGGACUCCGGACCGGCUGGCCAGCCAAUAAGUUGCUUUCGAAAAGAAUAAGUUGCUUUGUCUUAGAAUAGGUUGAAUGAGAAAUUGAACUAGAAAUCUUUGAUGAACAAAUAGCGUAAGUAAUAGCAGAAAACCUACGGAAUAUACUCGUCCUCCGCGGUAGUGGUUGCGAAGAAUUCAGAUCCUUUCCUUACUUUAGAACGCCAGCGCCCAAGAAGCCUUUAUUUACUAAGGCUGGUCCACGUAUGGUUAGUACAAACCUCUUGAGAAGAAGCUGAUCUCGGAACUUUCCAUGAACUAUGACGGUAGACAAAGCUUUGUAUCUCGAUCUUCUUCUUCUCUUUCAAAAGAAAACCCUCUUCCAGUAUAUAAUAGCUAUUCAUACUCAUCUGGAUCUUUGUUUUUGGGUCCUUUUUAUUUGACUAUUCAUCAUAUUUUCUUGCAGACGAAGUCCUUAAAGAUGAACCGAAAAUCUUCUUUGAGCCUUCCUGAUGGAUAGUCCUUCGGACCUGUCUUAUGGGGCCUCAGUAGCUUAAUUCUGAAAAAUCCAUAUUAGCCUUCUCACAUUCCCUAAUGGAUAGUCCUUCGGACCAGUCAAUUAAUCCGUGGGCUUACUCAGUCGUCUCGCAAUAUUCUUUGCGCCUUUGUUUUUGGACUGAUUUAUACCUCAGGACUUUCUCAAGCUUAACUUCUUCUUCCAAAAUAUAUGAUAUGGAAAGGUGCCAAAGUGCUGGAUUUCUUGCGCUGACAUGUAUCACACUCUGAAACGUACUGCUUAAUCAAGUUAAGAAUUCCUCGCCAAUACAACUCAAAGGAAAUUCCUUUAUAGGUCCGUAAGUACCCGUCCCCCAAGCACCGAGUCAUGAUAAGUAUUAAGGAUAGUCGGAAUUAGGGAAGACUGGGCUGAGAAUAGCAAUCUGUCCUUGUACAGUGCCAUUAAUCACUGAGAAAUGCGGAUGUCUAUCGGUAUUGGCUUCUAGAUCUGACUGACCCUAUCUCUUUGAGGUACUCAUCAGCACUAACCUCACUGCUCACGAUGUCGACAUCAAAAAUGGCGGGAGCUCUUAGGUUGGCCAAUUGCACGUGGGGAGGCAUACGGGAUAGAGCAUCCGCGAAUUCUGAGGCCCCGGUUUGUACUGCACUUCAAAAUCAUAUCCAAGGAGCUUGGACACCCACAUCUGGUACUCCGGCUGUAUGACCUUUUGCUCCACAAUCUAUUUAAGGGACUGCUGGUCCGUUCUCACUAUCAAUCUCCGGCCCAAGAGAUAAGAUCGCCAACGCUGGAUCGCCAUUACACCAUUAGUUCUCUUUCAUAAGCGGACUUAGCUUGAGCGCGGGGUGAGAGAACCUUGCUGAAAAAAGGGUCUCUGUCCUUGGGUUAAUACUGCCCCCACUCCUCUUCGUUCCUGAGGCAUCAGUCUCCAUAAUCAAAGGAUUAGUUCAAUCGGGUAAGGCUAAAAGGCGUAGUCUUACCAUGGCUCCUUUUAACUGCUCGAAGGCUUCUACAGAAUCUGAAGUCCAGAUAAAAGCAUCAGUACCGGUCAUCCUGUGCAGAGGUUGUGCUAUUCUCCCAUAAUCAACUAGAAACCUGCGGUAGUAACUCGUCAAUCCUAAGAAACUUCGUAACUCACGGACUGUGGUAGGUUGGGGCCAUUCUUUUAUCGCCCGCACCUUUUCUGGAUCGGCUUCAACCCCUUCUUUAGAUUAGAUACCCAAUGCCCCAAAUACUCUAGACGGCCUUGAGCAAAACGAGACUGAUGAAAGUUGAGAAUGAGACCAGCGAAGUACAAUGAAAAGACUAAAGUCAAAUCUUGAAUGUGGGAUUCGAAAUCUGGGCUGUAGAUGACAAAGAAUACUAAUCAAAAAAAAGGCCUUAAGAUCAUUCAUCAAAGAUUGAAAGGUUGCUGGUGCUCAGACCAAAGGGCAUCACCAAGAAUUCGUAAUGCCCCUCAUGCGUGCGGAAGGCUGUUUUCGCUAUGUCUGCCUCAUGGACCCUUAUUUGGUGGUAACACCCGAGCGCAGGUCUCAUUUUGUGCAAAUUUUUGCUCAUCCAGAAAUGGAAGAAAGAAAGGGGAUUGGAAAUUGAGGAGAAAUUGUCAACUCAUUUAGCGCUCGAUAGUCAAAAAGGCCAACUCCCAUCCUUUUUCCUGACUAAUAGAACCGGGCUGGCAUAAGGUCCAUGGCUGGGACGGUCCCGCUUGCAGCAUUUCCGCCACUAACCUCUCAAUCUCAUCCUUUUUCUCUCUUGAGUAAGGCUCGAGGGAGUUUACGGACGAGAGGAGCGAAGCGGCUCAUUUCAUUCCUGAGAUCGAUGAUCUCCUUCUUGGGGGUAGCUGAUCAGGUCUUUCGAAGACAUCUAAGAACCUCGCGAUCAACUCCUGUAUCGGACUCUCCUCGUCCUUCUUAGACCUCUCCCCUUGCUCUUCUACCAUCUCUAACUCCGCUGUAAUCGUCCGUAAUUCCAACCUUCACCCUAGGCGCAAAGCUCAAAUACUUUGAUCCUUUGAACCUCCGUUAUUCAUAUGGAUAGUCCUACUUCGGUUAAUUACGGAUGGUCCUACGGAUAAAUCCUCCGGACUCCGGAUAAGAAUCCUGCGGACUCCGGACGUAGGACCUGUCUUUAUCAGGAGCGUAGCGAACAGCCGUCAACUACUUGAUAGUUAUCCUAUCUUUCUCCUACGCGGAAUCCAGAAUAGACCCGUCAGUAUCCGGACCAUAAACUCAAACAAGAAUCAAACUAUGUGAAUUUCUGGGAUAGGAGUUCUUCUUUCAUUGCAAUUUCCCGGCUUUUUUGCUUCUAAAUAGGACUUUUUCUCAUCUUGAUAUUCUACGAUAAUUGUCUAAUUUUGACUGAUUUUUUGUCUUUUCUUGCUACUUCCCUAUGGGCAAAACCUAGCAAAAUCAUGUAUUUCCCUCCGUAAAAACAAGGUGAUUCAAUCCUAAUUAUUCUUUCAUUCGAGUUAAUGAGUGAAUUAUUCUUUUCUUUGAUUGACUUUUCCGCAAGAUUCUUUGCGCCUUUUCCUUUUGGAUGAAUUUGAAUCUCUCGUCUGAAGACUCUCGUCUGAAGACAUGAAAGACGAUUUCUUUCUAUUCUCAUAUUUUUCUGAUUCUAUGAGAAGGUCAAUCGGUAAAGAGGAAUAUCAUAACUAAUGAGUCACUAGCUAGCCCUUUAAUCUCACUAUUUCCUCUGCGAGAAGAGCGGCUUUCUAUCUAACCUCUGACAAUCCCCGAACCCCGCUCCGCUUCUUUGCGCUCCGUGGGCCUCUUUCUUUAGACAUCUGUGGGAGGAUUAAAGGAUGAGAGAUCCACGAUCCUGGUGAUAUGAUAGCAGAAUAUACCUACCAUCUAUUCAAGUUACCACGUCCCUUGAUUCAUUCCUUCAACCCGGGGCCCCUCGUAAACUCACUUUUUCUAUUCAAAGCGGUGGGCCUGCGAUCCUAAGCGGAAAUCUUCGUCAAUAUUCUUUGAGCCUCUUGUUGACUUUCCGAUGUGAGCAUGAGAAUGGGGAAUGAAUGAAAUGAGAUUGAUGAGUGAAUUAAGAAGGAGAAGACCAAAGGCGAGAGCCACGGCCUGGUCUGAAACCGGCCGGAAGAAGGAGAAGAAAAAGCAUGUACAGCAGCGCGGACUCUCUUCAAUCAACUCGUAUUAUUCCAUUCCCGAAGGCUUUCUUCCUCCCUCUCGAUCCUAUACCCCAUUCCUAAUAGAACCCCGAUAUGAAACUACGAGGACACACCCGACUGGGCCAUAUGGCCAAUUAUUUUCAGAAGAAAGCAAAGCCAAAGAGACCUGCUUUUAAUGCUCGACGUCGACACGGAGGGCGUACUUGAGUACUGGACGAACAAACUAUAUAACUACCCCUUUUUAGUGCGCGAAGCCGAAGCCUCCGAAACUGAGAUAGAGGGCGAGAUUUUCCUAGGAUUUCCUCAUGAGCAUGACCCUUACUUGCAAGAAUCCACGAUAGACUAAUCAUUUUUGGAAUAUUUCCUCUUGCAGUUGAUUUGAUUUUCCGGUUCAAAAAUCAUGUAUAUUAUCAAUCCGACAUCUUGAUCGAUUUAAUCCCACAUCUGGAUCUCUUAAUCGAUCUGUCUUAAUCGAUUUCAUCCUAUACUUCUUGUUAGGUACCCCAUAUUAGCGGUAGCUGUAACCUCUUUCCUAAUCGAUUUGUUCUCUCUCUUAAUCGAUCUAGCUGUCUCUUUCCUAAUCGAUCUGUCCUAAUCGAUCUGUCUUAUCUUUCCUACUCCCUUGUUAAUCGAGAAAGCUAUGUAUGCUUUAUCUCCUUUCUUAAUCGAUUGUAUUUAUCUUAAUGGAUCUCUUUCUCCCUAAUCGAUCUGUCUUCUCAUAUUACCGCAAUAUUCUUUGCGCCUUUCUUUCUUUAAAAAGAGAAUUAUCUUACUUAAUGGAAUUCUCUGAAUCGCUUGUACUGGGGACGCUCAGAGGAGAGGAAAGGAAGAAAGAAGCUAGCUAUCGGAAACGAAAGAAUUCUUAGGACUGAUUUAUGAACAGACAGAAUUCUAUUGAUUUAGCGCCACGCUGGCCUCUUUAUGUGACUCAUUCCGAUACGGGAAGGAUCGCCUAUAGGCUCUCUCUCAUAUCUACCCGAGACAGUUGUUCCACUCCGGCUACCCUCAAGAGCGGCUUAGCACCGCAGAGUGGGAAGGGGAGCGGCUUAUCGCACCUUGUUUUCUCUUUCUUUAGCAGCUUUCGUCAUAGGCUUUCUUCUAAAUAGUAGUUUGAAGCCUAUCCUUUCUUCUUUUCGUACUUCAUCGAUCUUUCUUCUUAUGGCUUUCAUAAGUAGUAGUUUCAUAAAGAGCGAUGGGCGAAUACCUGAGACAGGAUAGACGAGAGAUACCCUUUGAACCUCAGAUGGCCCUUUCUUCCGAUUUUGCUUGAAAAGAUGUGAAUGAAUGUCAACCUUUGAAUGUGAUUCGAAUGAAAGCAAGGCUUUGGGCAAUUCAAAGACUUUCAGAUAAAUAGGCCUCGCUAGCUAGAGGUUCAAGGGCUUUCUACUAAACUCAGGCAAGAGCAACUUCAGCAAGAACUUCUGAAAGGCAUCAAAAUUCCAUUCUCCUUUCAGUUGAUCCUAUUCCAAAGACGCUUCGGGUCGAGAUUCGUCAACUCGGCUGGUGGUCUGUGACGCUUUCUUUCUUCCUCAACUGAGGAAUGCUACACAGAAUUCCUAUCUUCAGGGGACUCUAUCUUUGUUCUUGUCCCACGCGGACCUCGCUUCGUACUGGGAAUCUUGUCUCAUAUACUUUGAAUAAUAAAGAAGACGAGGGCUAGCAACUUCCCUUGAAGCAGCAACUUCCACUGCGCCUCCUUCCUCUUCCGAAACCUCUCACAGCUUUCGCUUCGCUAGGCUUGAUUUUGAGUGGAAUUGGAAUUCAAAUCAGUGGAAAGCGACAGCUUUUAUGUCCUUAGAUUCAACUACGGAGGAUGAGUAGGAGCAGUCUGAUCUUCUUCUUCCCGCUCCCUCCUCAGGCGCAAAGAAUCUUGCCUUUUCCGUCAUAUUAGCUUUCCAUUUGAAUUCCACUCAAAGUUGCAGGCGAAGGCGCAAUGAAAUAUGCGUGGAACUCAAUCUUGCUUGUUAUGGGACUGAUUUAUGGAACUGAAGCUGGUCGAGCCUAAUCCUCUUGGGCGAGACUCCUAUUGAUUGAGAUCCGUGCCUGCCUUUCGAUCCUUCCCCCUACUCUUAUGGCUUUCCGUUAGCGCUUGAGGUCCUUAGUGAGGUCUAAGCAAGAGAAGAAAGAAUGAACUAUAUCAUCCCCUGGAAAAGGUGCUCAGCCACUCUACGUUGAGGAAGAAAGGAGAGGAUCAAAGAAUUUGAGACUGAAAGGAGAGGAGUUAGGUGAGACCAUAGGGAAGAGGACAAAUCGGUGAGGCCAAAGGCCCACGUAGCGGUUGUGUCCGCUUGAACCAGUAGCUUUUUGUAGAAGAAGUUGCUUCUUUUUCUGCUAUCUGCCCAUGUGUAAUGAGAUACCCUUUUUCAAGGUGAAAGCGACCGGAUAAAUCGCAUGAUUCAGUACUCAAAUAGAGAGAAGGCAGAUUGUCCCCACUUCCAUCCACCAUUCGUCCAACUAGUCCUAGGCGGGUGGUUAGGAAGCAGAACACUGUUUAGGAAGCAAGUCUUGUAGGGGUAGAGACCCAUGCGAGAUCCACACCCGUGAAGGAAAGAAGGGCGAAUCAGGUUCCAUCCACAGCUCGAGAAAAGGAAGAGACCACCCACCGGGCAGUCCGAGGUUGAAGUUAGUCUUCUGGCUGGAAAUAAAGAAGGGGCUUGACCGAGUGAAAGAGGGCAUAAGUCUCACUGAGUCAAACCCGCAUGAAAAGAGUUCAAAAAAAUCUGGUCGAUUCCCUAUUCCGGACUCAUCUUCCUCCUUUAUUUACUACCUCUCUCUUCCUUCGGAACCUGCUCGACCCCCACGGAUAAGAUAAUUACUGAAAAAGAAAUAAGUAGCAUUCUUCUUUCGACUCCUUUUCAUCCUUGUUCAUAGGAUUUCGAAAUCAUAAAUACGAAAGAAUGAAUCGGAUAUUGGCGGUGCGUGCGCAUUUUGAUAUAGCUUCCGUGUUCUCAGCCUAAGGCGAGGCUCGACUGAAAGGAGAGUGAGAGCUUCUCGAAACUAAGCUACUGCAGCAAGAACGUCUGCCUACCUGCCUGCUGGUCUCGCCUUUGAAAAAGAGUUCUCUCAUAGUGAGAGUGAAAAGAAGAGUAGGAGUUAGAGACAAAUAAGGAUGCCUUGGUCCGUCUUCUUGCGCGUCCAGCGCAGCCUUCUCGUUCAGCAUUCUUCCUAAUCUCCUCUAAAUAGGGAAUCGAAUUUCAUCUAAAAGAUUAUGACAUGCCAAACCCCAAACUCAGAGUAUAAUGGAAGAAAUCUAUUCCAUGAUCAGACGGAGUGGCCCUAAACGGGGUUCAAGGCCCUUGAUUGGGAUUCACCUGCUCUGCUGCCAACCACACCUGGAAAUGGUGUGAUAGGUUCAAAGAAUAUUGACGCCCACGAGGCGUAAUAAGGGCCUCAAUGAACAAGAGGUUGACCACACAUGAAGGUCAGAAAAUGUUUCACCAUCUACUACGGUUGAAGAGAAAAGAGAUUGAAACCUAGUGUGAGGUCGACGAUCGAUUUGGCCAUGACGGGACCCGCGGCCAUCAUACUUUGAAUAAUUUGAAUAGGCCACCGAUUGCUUGCACUCUUGAAAGGCAGUCCUUUAAUGGGGAAUCAGUCUGGUGAUAGGGCCCAUUUGCUUAAAGGUUCCAUCCAUUGGGAUAGACCGCAGAAGGUCCAUUGCCCAAGGGUGGACCGGGAACAAGAGUCGUUGUCUAAGAUAGUUACCUAUGGCAAAGAUAGGACGUUUUCCCGCGCCUUCGAAGGUUUGGGCAAGUCUACCUCGUUCAGGUAUAUUAGUUGGAUUAUUACCGAGGGGGUCUCUGAUCAUCCCUAAGGAAAGACUCUCAACUAGGACCUAAACCCAAGUGGUAAUGGAGGGUAGCUCGAGACACAUAUUGAUCCACAAGGGAUCGGUCAAAGGCAAAUAGCCGAUAACCCGGCCAAAAGACCCGGUGUCUCAAUACUACCCAACUUUCCACGAGACCUGUAGAAAGGAUAUAGGAAUGCCCCGACACAGAAUAUUUGACGUUGCUGGUAGGACUUUGAGGCUUUCCAGUUUUCCUCCUAUCCACAGGCCGGAGGCUGUUGGGAAUUACCUUGAACGUAGGAACCCAUGAUAGGCCUAACUCCAAAGGGAGAGACCUAAGAAAGGGGAGGUAUUUCUCAGAUAGUGAUUUAACUGAAGAUGAAAUCAAAAUUGAGCAGGGAGUCAUAUUCCAAAUCGCUUUUCAAGAAAGCAACUUCUAUUUUGAUCUUUGUCUUUUUAUGAGUUCGCCUUUAGUAUGAUUCCGCUCUUCGAGAACUCUGAUGAUUCUACCUCCUUCUCUAGAAAGUUCAGUCAGGAAAGCCUACCAUUAACAAGUCCUUCGCCUACAUGGAUAUAAAGAAGUCCGACGGGUCAGAAUGACCUCAAUAUUCUUUCUCAUAUUUCAUUGACCCGUCCGAAGGACUCAGAAUUCCAUAGUCCAGGUGAUCAUAUAUUGGGACACUAGGCGGUGGGCUUUCUUCUUCUUCUUCUCCUUUAUCACGGGAUAGCUCUGACUUUGAAGCGAAGGAUUAAUGGAAAAAGGUUUGAAUAAAGACUCUCAUGUGUUAAGCAAAUGAUCUGAGAUCCUUUUUUUGCCUUUCAAACUUGUCUAUUUUAUACAUCUAUGAGUAAAAAAUAUAUCUAGUUUCGAACAAGGGUGGAUUUCCAGACAUCAUGAUGUAUCAUUCAUUUUUCAUGAAUCCGUAGAAUGGAUAGUCAUCCAAAUGAAUGAUGUGCCAAGUGGUGACACGAGGGAGGAUUUUCAGUCCUCUGCUCUACCAACUGAGCUAUCCCGGCCAUUUCCGACACAUUAUCCUUCUUUUAAUAGAUGACUUUGGUCUAUUAAGAAGAAAAUCAAAGGGACCAGAUGAGAGACGGGUUAAUAUGGAUAGUCCUUCGGACUGCCCUUUUUUUUUUGAUUUUGGAGGGGGAGCGGAGGCGCAAUGAAAUAUGCGUGAAUGAAUGAAUGCGCUUUCUUGAUUCUUACUUCAGAUUCCUUUAAGUAGGUUUAGAAGGCUCCUUUUGAUAGGCUUUCUCUCUCUACUCUAGUAAAGCUUUUUUUGUUGAGUAGGUUAUUGGUGGCGGAGAAGGACGUAGAAGGCAUCAAAAUGCAAUUCCUCUGACUUGAAACCGCGGAGUGGGAAGGCUUAGAGAAGAUCAGAAGAGAAAAUAGAAGAGAAGAGCUUGAAUUGAAAGAGAAGAUCAGACUCGAGUGAGGAAGAUAGAGAUCAAGAGCGGGAGAGAAAGAAGAAGAACAAGAACCUACUACUACUAAAAUCAAAGAAGACUAUAUAUAAAGGAGAGGCAAGGAAGAAUUGCCUAUCCUUCUACGUCCUCCUAAAGAAAGCCUAAGUCAGAAAGCCUAUCAACUAGAAAUCAAUGAACAAGGCUCAAAGAAUGAUCGGCGUCCUUUUGACCUCCGGAACCUAUUAGUGGAAUCUUUGACUUAGUGGAAAUUAUAAGGGGUCCAGAUGACUUGUUAAUGGAACUGAUUGUAGUAGGCGUCGGACCUUCAAAGUCAUUCAUACUAUAUUCACUUUCUGGGCUUGAGGCUAAAGAAUAUGAGUUCUCGCCCAAGACGGCGACUUUCACUUCGCUCAUAUUACAUUGAGCCUCUCACGCAAGUCAAAUUCUCUAAUGGAUAGGCCUCUACCCUCUUCGGAAAGAGAGCUGACCGGCGGGGCGGGGGUAGUUCGACUAACCGGGGUUUCAGGAGUUCCUCUGGGUCUCGACUGAGAACCUUUCCUGUCCAUGAAUGGGGAUUAUCUCGUUCAUUGCUCUCGUGCAUUCUUCUUGAGAUAAUCUAAGAUAUUACGGGGAAUCCUCUAGAAGAAACUGAAGGAAGGAAAGCUGCGGUGCGGGUAUAUUGAAUAACCGACAAAGAAAGAAAGCCACGUAGCGGUAUCUCGGGCCUAGAGGUUUGAGUACUCCAGAAGCAGGGGCUCGGUCUAAUUCAAAGAUCUGCUUCAUCCUAGGCUUUCUCUUUGGAAACUGAGAAUUAUGCCUCUGAGAUCCUAGUGCGGGUCGAGCGGCUUGAAUCUUGGACUCCUUUUAGUCGAGCUUCAACUCAUCUGGAGCUUGAUUUUUCUGUUGCAAAAGAAAGCGGAAAUCUUCAAGCAAUAUUCUUUCGCAAAUUCUUUGCGCCUCUUUGUCGAGUUAGAAAGGUUCGGGAUUUGAAUAAAUGAGAUGAGAGAGUGUUCUUGAAUAUAAGCUUUGCCACAACGAGAGCUACUGAAGAAAGAGCUGCUCCUCCUACUCUCGAACCAGGAGUCGCGCAUAUGGAUUAUCUGAUAUUAGAUCGUAUCGUAGAUUCAGAUUAUCUGACAAGGCAAGGAUUGCGCAUACGUUGCCUACCCGAGAGCCCUUGCCAGACUUCCAACCGCUAUAUCUUCGUCCCACGGCUUGCCAGACUCACAUCUUGAACGAAAACAUUCCAUUUGACAUGAGGGACUCCUAACAACACAACUAAGCUAUAGGGAAAGAACUACGCUACGGGAGAGGAUCAGUCUCGAGCAUAGCGAGAGGGAACCCUCACAUCUUGAUGUCAGACCAGAGGUGAGACUUGCCAUAAGUCAUCUAUUGCCUGACGAUGGCAAGCCAGAGCUGCUACGGCUAUAGAGCGUAUAGGAAGUCUAAUUUGAUCUAUGGCUCUUAUGGUUCUGAAAAGCUUUUUUCGAAUGACUGAGACCUUGAAAGAGCUGAGCGUAGAGAUGCGUCUGUCUGAUUAGUGAGUCCUUAUGGCAAUGUAGCUAUGCCAGAGUGUGGGAUUCUGAGCGUUAAGGGAAGCCUCUUGCUCGUCUGAGUGGGAGGGCUGAUGCCGGAUCGUCUGAUCGGAGUUCCUCUGUCCUGAGCCUUGGAUCUAGGGAUGCCCGAGCUCCUCCUGGGACAGAGCGUUCAUGUGCUUGCUUCACACUCUUGGCUACGACAGACAGAGUUGACUAUAGCUGUGCAUGCCAAUGGACUAGCCGAUAGGUAAGGAUAGCGCAUACGUUGCCUACGCAAUACUAUGUAUAGUCGAGUAAGCUAGCGUUCUAUCAAGUCUAGUACGAGGAGGAUCUUGCUUGGUAUACGAUACUUGCUAGACUAUGCAUUGCCAGACUCCGGCAAGACCGAAGAGUGCCACUACGAUAAGUAGAAUUAUGUAAAUACCGAAAAAAACUUGUUGUGGGAGCAGCCAAAAAAGAAGAGACAUUCAUUCAUUGAACGAAAGAAAUUUCGUAAAGUAAUUGAAUUUGAAUUAGGUCGUACCUUGACUCUCUCUGACUAGUGCAUUACAACAAGAAGAAAGCUGCAGGUAUUAAUCUUAGGCAAGAUUGAGGCUAAGACGGGGUUAUUCGCAAGGCCAGGGGCAGUAUCAAAAGAUAUAGAUCCCAGUCUAGAAAGAGAGAUAACUAAUUUGCCAACCAGUGGAAGAGCCUUGAACCCGCCCACUCCUAGGUAGGGUAGUUGGAACAUUUAUUGGCAUUAGUCAACCGGGAAUUUGUCCUCCUCGUAUUUCUCUAUCGACCAAAGAAAGAGAAGGUGCCCAAUCUAAUGCCCUAGUCUAUGUAGUAGCUGCCACCUUUGAGAUUGGUAAACUAGAAGAAAUACCAUCCAAUCCAGGAUUCAGUGCCAUCUGGGAUCCCACGUAGCGGUUGAGUACGACCCACUUUGUGAGUCUUGCAGACGAACGAACUCUUCAACGGGGUUGACUUUGAAGAAGAAAUCGAAAUACAAGGUUUAGCGGGUUGUUCAUCCUUUCCGUGCCCGUGCCCGUGCCCUCCCUAUAAAGCUAGCUUGGGAGGGGCGGAGCUGGCAGAGCCACCAGCGGCGAAGGGAUGGAGGUGGGUAAGAUCAAGAAAUUCCUUUGUUCAUACGUGCCGUAGGUAAAUUCAAUCCAAUCCAGGUUCGUAUGAUGAGGAAAGGGAGGUAAAGAAGCUGGCUAAGAAGAUUGGCUAAUUGGCCAAUCCGUUCCCAGUGACCCAUCUAAUUGAUUCGAUCCAGUGCAGAAAGAAGCGAGUGAGCGGCAACCAAUAUCGGACCUGGCGAAUAUCUGUCUCUCAAUCCCGGGAUGAAUGAAAGGAGGUGCAAUAUUGACCUAACCUCUCCUUCCUUUCUUCACUCUUUCUUUCUUAAUCGAUUUGUUCUCUCUCUUAAUGGAAUUAUCUGAAUCGAUUUAAUCUCCCUAAUCUUUCUUUCUUAAUGGAAUUAUCUGAAUCUCUUGUAUUUCUCGAUUUGAUAGCUUAAAAAGACAUCUUGAUCUAUUUUCUUGUUUAUAUAUGAUAAUCGAUAUCUUUGAUCGAUUGUAUUAAUCUCUUUCCUUUAUCGAUCUUUCUUUCUUGAUCGAUCUGAUAGCUCUUACUCUUAAGCGUAGCGACUCAGACCGCUAGCCUGAAUCAGCUUUCCUUUCAACUUCAUCAGCUUUCCCGGAUCUUUCUUCAUCUGCUUUUCCUACGCGUAGCGACUCUAUCUUUAUUGAGAGAUAUACCCGGGACAGCCUGAAACUCUUUCAGCGUAGCGGUAGCCGAGCGGUGGCUUCUCCCUUGCGGAUUUGGACAGGCUGAACAGGACAGGCCCGGCUCUCGGUCGGUGGGCUUCACCCGCUCCGUGGGUUUUCUGUUUUUCAGCUACGCGUAGCCUUCGAAUAUGAAUCUAAGGGCUCCGUAGGAGUUGAAAGGAGGGCAUUAAUGUGCAAAUGGUGUUUAUGAGUCCUCCGGACGACUCAAAACGAAUCAAUGAACAAGUCAUUGAAUAAAGUCAACUCAGAAUGGAACGAGUUCAAGAGGUCUUCAGACUCCGCUCCAAAAACAAAGGUCCUCAAUUCAAAGUUCAAACUCAAAAAAGCAGCGAAGGACUCAUUCAUUCCACAGGUUCAUAUGGAAUUUCAUGACUCCCAAUGACUCCUACGGAGCCUGAUUUUCCACUCAUUCAAUGCCUGAGGACGGACGGAAGUAGCUCGACCAUAGGAAGAGGGCCGUAGGACCACUCAAACUUAUGCUCCGCUCAUCUCUAGCCUUGUUUUGAUAUACCUUGAAUUCUUCUUCUCUUUAUUCAAUGAUCAUUCAAAGGCGAACUUUCAGUCUUGUCAACGCAUAUUUCAUUGCGCCUUCGUCCGGACGGAGCAAAGAGCGAAAAACUGAUAAUAUCUAUAUAUAAGUCAAGUAGCUUCUUAUCUUAUUAGAAUCAAAUUUCUGAGACCACUUAUUUAAUCAACUUCUUUCUUUCUUCUUAUUCAUGGGAUCAAACCCGGGAUUUUGCGCAUUCAAUGUACUAGUUCUUCUCUCCUAUCUCAUAUUGACAAGAAAUAGAUAGGAAGGAAGGAGGGCUCUCCUAUAAUCAGAGAAGAAUCAAGGUCAUCCUUGCACUCACUCCUUCCCAGUCGCUUCGCGCCUUCGUCUGCUAUAAGAAAGCCUUCUCUAAUCAGAACCGAAUCUCCUUCUCGGCUAAAAGUUAGCAGGAUUGAAACCACCGUCGGAGUAGAGUGCUCCCGGCCUAGGGCCAGCUAGGUGGGGAAUUGCAUUCAAACCCCCAUUUUUUUCACAUGAUUUGGAGUCAAACCCCUCGAGCAUCAUUCCCUUAACUCACAUUCAUUCACAUCAAGAAGCCGACUACGCGGUUCAGAGGUCGUCCUUUGCCGAAGCAUCUUGAUUCCUAUGAGAUUCAGAGUAAGCGCGGGUAGGACGAAGUCCGAAGCUAGCUUCGGAGCAUUAUUAUCCGUUGAGGAAGAAAGGGUGCGGGGCGAAGCAGCUAUCCCAAUACUGAAAGAGGGUCGAUCUAAUUCACCGAGACGGAGAGGGUAGAGAUCUGAAGUACUAUUAUCGGCAGUUCGUAUGAGAUCUUUCUUUCAUAGGUGGAGUUCUCAUCUCGGAUGAGGAAUGAAAAGAGAUUAUUCUAUUUCAAUAGAGUAGCCCACCCUUCCCAAGAGGUGAAAAAGACUAAAAGGAAGAAAGCCCCGAGGUUCGGAGCUGUCAAGCAAUUAUUCUUUUUGAAUAUCUACUCUGAUGAUCAAUACUGCUUUCCCAAGGCAAAUCUAAGAAGUUCAGUCAGAAAAGAGAAGAGUCCUUCCCCGCAAACCCCGUACUCAAAAAAGGCAUUUCAUACUCGACCAGGACUAAAGGGAAUGCUAAACCUUGCAAAUUCUAGAUGGACUCGUGAUAGAAUGCCAAUUGAAGUAAUGAGAGGCAGACGACCAAUAAGGAUUCGGCAAUUAGCUUAUCCCAUAGGAUCGACCUCUCCAGUACCAGUAUCGGAUCCACGGGCCAUUGAAUAAGAGGCAGGGGUAUUCUCUCUUUCAUCAGAGUCCCGGUCGGAACCCCAUCGACCGGGGAAGAGGAUAUAUAUAGGCGAGACGGAGAGGAGACUCGACCAAAGGUUCUUAAGUUCAAUAUUUAAGGAGAGAGAAGAGGAUAUAUAUAGGCGAGACGGAAGAGGAUCCCGAAAGAAAGAGACCUCCACCCUUGAGCAUAACUGAUUAUUUUGGAUUAGUUAUCUUAUAGGUUCAAAGAAUCAAUUGCAGUUUCAGAGGCGGGAAAGGGCCCUUGUUCAUUGAUUCCUCUUUCAUGAUUUCGUAUUCCGUCUUCCAUUGAAUCAUAUCUGAUAUCCGGAAUAUCCUAGAUUCACAAAUCAAAAUUUCUUCUUCUUUCUUCUGUCUUUCUCGAGAAACCUCCGCCCAAAGUGCGAGGUUUAGCCGUCAGUGGACCUAAAUAAAGGUGGACGCUCAGCCGGGGGUAAGAACUAGUUGAGGAAUGAAUAUCUAUAUAGUCUCUCGUUAUAGGAGUCAAUCUGUCUCGGAAUUGCUCAUUCUCAAUGAAUUUUUCUUUCGCAUGAAAAGGAAAUAAUAGAACCGAUAGGGAAUGAAUAAGAGUUAGCAUCAAGGAUCUUUCACUGAGAGUUCGUAUGAUCAGAAGAUCAGACAGGCUAGGCGUAAUUGAGUCGAGUUAGUUUAUUCUCUCGGAUUAUUUGCGGGAGAGAGAGAAGGACUUGGGGAGAGACCGAGUUUGAGUCUUCCCCAUGUUCUCAGUUAAUGAGAGAGUGGUCCAUGCAUUUCAUUCUAAGUUGAGACUGGACUGAAGGUAAAUCAGUACAAUAAGGGAAAGUGCAAUCUGCCUCGGUUUCGGAAGAGGAAGCUCGCCGCCCCUUGAUCAGAAGUUGCUCUGGCCCUGGCCUCUUUAUUUCAGUUCUUGAAUUAAUUCAAGGGAUUCUCCGAUCGGGCUAACCCGCAUUUCAAGACCAAAAGGUUUACAUAACGGAAGGGUAGAUUUUCACUCUCUGUCCUUGAGCCACGGAGUAUAGCAAAUCCACUCCGAUCUUAUGGGCUCACCUUGCCCGCCAUCUCUCUCCUUCAUCUGAAUGGGAUCGUAAAAUAAAGGAUCCGCAUUUCUUUGAAGAUCUCCCAUUAUUUCACUCUGAUUUCCUACAAAAAGGUCUGAAUCUGGGAAAUGGGGAAGUAGUCCUCAAUAAGAAGAUUCAAUCUAUUAGUUGAAUGAUUCUCUGAUCUUUUUCCGCUCGACCUAGUCCUCAUCGGAAUUCUAAGUCGACAGGCACAGGACAUCAAUCGUGACGAACUUAGUAGGGUGAGUCCCGUCUCAGACGAAGGAAGGGCAGUUGAAGGAGAAGUCGGCCCUGUCCCGUGUUCGAGGGAAAGAAUAUUAGCACACACCUCCCCCCUAAUAAUCCUACACAAAAUCAAAGACCGCAGAGUCUUUAGAAGUAGACCGAGUUCGCCUUUAUUGGUCGAAAGAAGAGUAAGAAUUCUCAGUUUAGCUUAUAUUUAUGAAGCGGAUUCUCCGUAUUUUUACCCAUCCCCGUCCUGCCCUCGCAGUAGUCCUUUCUCUUGUUCUUGAUUUGCAUAAAAGACAAGACCAUUUCCCGAACCUCAAUUUCUUUCUUGGCACUAUGCCAACCUAAAAAAGGUUAGAUAUAGGCAGGCGAGACCGUAAAUCUCUCGUACUCCAACUCAGUAUCCUUCCCCGGUCCGGGAAAGCUGCUUGCGAGCCUGCUAUUCGUCGAAUGAAAUACCUCCCCCCCCGAUCUUUUCUAUAUAUUCUUUGCACUCCUGUCCGAAGGACUCGCUCCCCUGCAGAUAAAUGCGCUUGUCUAAUCGACCCUCUUUCUCUUCCCUUUCAUACUUCUUUCUUCUUUCUCUGUCUCAGUCUGUCUUCUACACAGCCUCUGACCUCUACGUCCCCGGUGCGUAGGGCCGAUCCCUGCGAAAGAAAGGAUUUUGGAAGAGGUAGAUUCAUUCAUGAAAGGCAUAUUGAAUUGCGCCUUCGUUCAAUUCCCACGCCAAAAAGAAAGGUCCAGAUGACUAUGAAGGAGGUUCAAAGAAGAUUUCAUUGACUAUUCAUCCUAUUACUUUAAGAGAGAAUGAAAGAUAGUUCAAAUUGUAAUACGAUCGAUAUUACGAUAUCUUGAAUGAAGAAAGAGACUGUAACAAGGUCAGCCUCUGCUUCAAGGGUUCUGAUCCGGGCAAAAGGCAGGAGGAGCCAGGAGUUGUUUAGGAAGGAAUCCGAGACUGGGAAGGCGCAAAGAAUAUUAUAUUGUUGGAAUCAAUUGAUUAAGAAUCUUCUCAAUCCCCUAAUGGAUAGUCAGUCCGAAGGACGGGGGAUUUGAGAGGCGCAAUGAAAUAUGCGGGGAACGUGAAUUCCACCGAAUAUCUUCUUCCUUUCCUCGGAGGCCUUAUAGAUCGUGCUGGUGGGAGUUUGUCCCUAAUCCGGAUAAGGCGCUUUCUUGCUUAUUAAUUAGUCUUUCUUGCUUAUUCAUUCUUUCCACUUCUACUUCAACUGAAUUUCUUUGAAUAAAAGCUAGUUUCCACAGAAAGGGCUACUACUUACUGAUUUUUCUGAAAGAAGAAAAAGAAACUUUCUCCACCUCGGCCGCAACAGAGAUCCCGCAACGGACCACCCUGAUCCCGUAGCUCUAUAUCCUUAGUGGUUAGUGGAGAACAAGUCAAAUCACAUUACUGAAGAGAAGAUUAGUAAAUCAAUGUAACCUACUUAAAGGAAAAGGAAUUUCAUGAUUAUGCCUCCGUCUGACCCCCUCCUGAUUUUAUGGAAUCGGUCUUUUAUCUUAGAUAAACUUAUACAACUCCGUAUAAUUUGCCUUCGCACCUCUCCAACUCAGGAAUCCCUUUCUUCAAGAAAAGAUCGCGCAUCGACUAAGACGAGUAGAUAAAGAAUGGGAUAAAUAAAGAAGUUGUCACGCGCCUUGGUCAAGAGAGAUUGAUCAUUCCCGAUCGCAACUGAAACGGGGACGGAAGGAUUCGAACCUCCUUUGAUAGCGCCCUCACCACCGGGCCACGCCCCAUGACUAAUAUUGAGAAGGCAGGCAUAUUUCUCUUCAUCCUGGUUUGAACAAGUGAGAUUCAAACUUGAGACAAAAGGAAUUCAUCUGCUGACAUCAAUGAACAAGGCUCAAAGAAGAAAGAAGAGAAUGGCGAUCAGUAUUUGAGAAGAAAGAAUAUCCUUAGCUGCCGUGAGUUGCGUGAGAAAGAAAUAAAUAGGAUGAAUAGUCAGAAGGCGCCAUAAGACAGGUCCGAAGGUUCCAUAAGAGGGAUAUUGAGAAUUUGGUCCUUCAUUCAUCAAAUUUCAUUGAUCCUUCGCUCAAUUCACAUCCAUAAAUAAAGGGCUCUAAAAUCAAGGCGGCAAAGAAAAGGUGAAUAUGGGUAAUCGACAAAGGCGCCGGAAAGAUUCCAGCCUAUCUCUUCGCUUCCUUCUAUAUGGAUAAAGAAGUCCUUCGGACGAGUCAAUAAGGUCUUUUUUCGCUCAUCAUAAUCCUCUGGAAAAUUACCUUUGAAAUCCGAGUCCUUUCCUUGCCUUGAGUGAGGGCUUUUCGACCAGCAGGAAUCUCCUGCCGCAGCACUAAGCAGGCUAGCCGCCUAUCCCCCUGGCUCCUAGUGUGUGCCUGAGUGGAAUCCUUGACUUAGUGGAAUGAAUGAGUUUCCGGAGGUCCUCCGUUUUAGAUUUAGAGUCCUACUUCCUUCCAUAUGGAUGGUCCUACUUCGGUUAAUUACGGAUGGUCCUACGGAUAAAUCCUCCGGACUACUUCCUUCCAUAUGGAUGGUCCUACUUCUAAUGGAUAGUCCUACGGAUAAGAAUCCUCCGGACUCCGGACGUAGGAUAAAUCCUGCGGACGUAGGACCCUGGACCUUUCUUUGAUGGUCCUCCUAACUACGGGCUCCUUUGUCGAUUUGCGCGGAGCAGACUGAUUUCUUAUCGUAAGGGCAGUCCUCCCCUAAUUUCUUUUAUGGAUGUUCAUAGAUCCUUGCCUCCAGUUAAGGCUUCUAGCCUUCCUUUCGAACAUAUUAGUGGUCCGAAGGACUUCGGACGGAGAGGGUUCUCCGGACCUUUUUUAUCCACAGAUUAAGCUUGAUAAAUCAGUGUUAAGCUAUUUUAGUGGAAUGAAUGAGAUAUUAGAAUAGCGAAUAGUCCUUCGGACUGGUCUUGGUCUCUUUUUCUCUUGCUUCGUAGAUUAGCAUAUUUCCGCAAUAUUCUUUGCACCUGGUUGGGUUGGGAAAGCUUCCUCUUAAGUAUGACUAGAGAUCUUCCCUAUCCCGCCGAUCAAAGAAUUGAGUUAGCAUUCUUCUUUCUUCUAUUCUAAUAGAGUGAUUUGUGAUUAUUGACUUGCUCGCUUCGCCACUCUCCCUCUUGGCUGCUUCGAGCCUGUCCUGAGAAUGAAAGAGGAAGUCUGACUUCUGACUCCCGAGCCUCCUCUGCUGCUUAAACUGUCCUCUCCAACUCUUUCUCUAGCUUAGCUUCCUACAAAUCCCCUAAUGGAUAGUCCUUCGGACCUGUCUCGCAAUAUCCUUUGCGCCUCGCAAUAUUCUUUGGGCCUCAGUAGCUUAAUUCAGAAAGUCAAAUCCCAUGAUUCCUGCUACCUGCCCCUUUAAAGGUCUAGCUUCAGCAACAGAUAAUUACCUUGAAGCCGAAAGAGGGACGACUGGGACGAGGGAUUCCUUUGAUUAUGGAAGGAAGGAGGCUCCUAUCCGGUAUCGCUUUCAGUUACUCAUGCGAAGUGGAAGUCUUAGAGUUCCCUUGAACAUAGUGAUGAUCACUCUUAUUCUCUUAUUAUGCCGCUCCCUCUUCUCUCCGCAAUAUUCUUUGCACCUCUUCUCGUCCUUUGGAACCUCUCCGUCUCUUUUUAGUACUUCCUGCUUGCUGCUUUCCCGCCGAUGAAGAUGAAUUGGGAUUGAUUGAUAUAGUGCAAAUUGAGUUCUUUAUCAAUAGCCCUAUUCAGACCGCUCCGUGGGACCUAUUGGUAUAGCAGUUCAACUCCUUCCCGGUUAGCAGCUUUCUUUGGAACCUACUCUGAUGAGACUGAUUCCGAUGAUCCCGUAGUAGGUCGAGCCACUAUUUUUGCCCUUUCUUUUGAGUGAUUUAUUCCGUACCUAGGGAAGUCUUCCGCUUAUUAUGCUGGUACCUCGCCAACUCAGUUUAGACGUUCCACUCCUUGCUACUUUGCUCCACUUCUAACCCGGAGGGGGCGGUCUUAGUUCACGCUUGAGGCUAGUCUCUAGCUCUAGCUUGUUGGGUCGAGCGGUCCCUCUGUAGGUAAGUAGGUCGAGCGCCUUUGUCCCUGAAAGGUUGAGGUAGUCUUUCCCUUUUAUAGAGUGAUUGCUUUGCUCCCUCUUCUGUGAUGAUUCUAAACGGAGACUUGAUCUUCCUCGUCAAGGAGCAUAACUCAAGAUUAUGCAGCAAGGGGACUCCCAUUGGUAUCGCUUCCUCGAGAUCCUUACCUUUUUCAAUGAAUGGAAGAUGCAAGAACAACUGAAGCGGGUGCCUGUCGGCCUACUUUACCUUCUUUUUCCUGUGAAUUUGAUCCAAUCCAAGGCGGAAUCCAUCCCAGAGUUCUUUCUACAAAAUAGCUAAAAUCAAAGCUCCAGAUGAGUUUCAGUUCAAAGAAAGGAUAACCUUUGACGAAGACCUUUCCGAUCAUUUGGCCUAAGGCCGAUUGAUCUAUUUUCUAUCCAUCCACUAGUGUGACAAAGACAGAGAUUUGACUCCUGCUUCCCAGCAAAAUGCUCAUUCAAAGGAGUAAACGAGGAAAUCGGGAUCCUUUUCUCUGAGAAGGAAGACCAUACUACAGACCGCCCGCUUAGGGGUUGGCGCCGUAGAGCAGGAGGACGGUCGAUCUUUCGUUAUCGGGUGAAUCUUGAAGUUCUCAUUCUCUCUUUCGAGUCAUUGGAGAGGCGCGAAGAUGCUCGACCGGUUCUAAUCGUAUGAUCUCUUUAUCAUGGCACAGAUGCAUUUGCUUGGGCGCAGCUGCUCAAGAAAAAGUGCUCAAGCUUUAGUGUAGAACAUUGUCUGAAGAGCUCACUGAAAGGGAUAAGACUUUCUUCUCGGAGAAGAAGUGAACGAGACCCGUAGCUUACUCCAGCGGGAGCAAGACGGACUGGGGCUCUGAGAGUUCCAGCAUAUCCAAGCCUUAGUGGAAUAAUACGUUUUUAAGUGGAAGGCAACUCAUAUUACAUUGAGCCUGCAACUGUGCCCCGCAUUUAGCCUUACAGUCGAGCCGCUUUCGCUCCAGGUGCUCAGGAAAGUUCGGAGACGGAUGUAGCUUCUUAAUAUGGAAGAAAGUUAAGCUUGAUAAAGUCCUUAUAAUGUCUAAUCUUUCUCUGGGUCCUCCGUUUUAGAGUCCUACGGAUAAAUCACCUGGACCUUUCUUUGGCACUUGCAAAAUCUAGUAUUUUACUCCUCCCACAAAGAUGCACAUUUUUCAUUCCCAUGUUCCGUCCGAAGGACUUCUUUAUCCAUUAGUCGUUAAUGAGCACUUGAACCUGUCUUUCUCAUUCGCAUACCGAUCAAGAAAAGCCUCAGCUACUGCUUCCCUCAACGGCUUCUGAUCCUUAACUCAGUCGAGCAGCUUCAACAGCUUUUUAUGGGAAUUCAGACUCUUCCUCUUCCGCCGAGACGGCUUCCGGAUGGAUGUCUUCCCUUGUAUUGUAAGAGCUUUUUUCUGCUUUCUAGUUCACAAGAGGAGGACGAGUGAUUCAGAGUUGUCUUCCUUGUCUAAAUUCCGAAUUCCGAAACUUGAGAAGUUUAGCUAGGUCAAUAUUCUUUGAACCUUUGGUCGUCUAACCUCAGUAAAGCGGCUUCCCACCUCUCCCGAACGGAGCUAGCUAAAGAGUUUAUUCAAUCUACUACCCCUUUCUCAGAUACGACUUAUUUAGGAGCGAACGAUUCUAUCACGCUCGCUAAGAGGAAUUCAAGAACCCCACCACCAGGAAGGGAAUAAGAAGUAGUACUGGUGGUAGCAUUGGAAUGGAUCGCUUUUCCCGAAUGGAUAAGUCUCGCUUUCUCUUUCAUCCACUUGGGCACGACGACGAAGAUCUAGAGAAAGAUCGGAUCGUUCAUUCAAUUCUAUACGUUAUUCGCGAAUUGGCUUUUCACGCGUAGAAGGACGGAGAAGGCCUUUCAUGAAGGGCAGGACUCCGUAGUCGAUUUGUCAAUAUUCUUUGAACCUCCUACGCUCCUGAUUAGUCUUAUUCCUUCUAUUUUAGUAGGCUCCGGAGGCUGCUGAAUGAAUUCAGUCUUUACUUGACUAUUUUUAGAUUACUAAAGUAGGUAGAAGGAGCUAGAAUAUCCCUGUCUUAUGGAACCUCUCGCUUGGAAAAAGAACCUUGCCCUAGGUUCUUUCUUUAGAGGAUAGGCUUUGAUUCUUUUUCUGCAGUCUUUUUUAGGCGGAAGGCUUCGAUCUUGAGUCUGAGUAGGUCUUCCAGUUCUUUCUCUAGCAUAAGUCGUUGAAGUAGGAAGAGAAGUUGAUCUCGCAGAAAGCCGCUCGGGUAGAUCCGCUUUACCCUUUCAAUAGGGAUCCAUCAAUCGUACGCGCGAACAAAGCUAUCCAGGGGUCAGAGCCUCAACCGCAGAAUAAGCAGGGGCGAGGUGCAAAGAAUAUUGCGGAGAGGAGUUGAGCGGCUCGGGGCAGGGGAAUCCGCAGUCACAGUUGCGGCUUAGGCAGGACGCCCACGGAGCGGACGAGUCCUUUCUCUUUGUCUUUCUUUCUUAAGUGGAAGUUCUGGAUAAGUAGCGUCAUGUUCGGGAAUGAGACAAAUCUCUGAAAAAUCAGUUUCCUUAUCACCUUGGAUUUUCCUCGCCUUCUUUCUACCUCGUUAAAAGUCAGGCUUUUUGCCUAUAGCUCGUAUCAACAAUUUCCGAUUUCAGAACAACUAGAGCCACUUCUGCAACAGCUGCUACCGAUCGAACAAGAACUAGAGCUGAAACAAGAACAAAAGCGACUGCCGAUCCCCGGUGGAGCUGCGGAUGAGACUACUUCUGACCUUCCUUCUCCUUCAACCGAAAGAUGAACCGAAAAUCUUCUUUGAACCUCGACUGAAUACUUCAACCGGCCCAAGAGCCUACUAAAAAGAGGGUGCCGAGACAGAUUCCUAUCUUACCGCAACUGAUCUGCCUUCUUCUUUCAGUUACCUAGCGGAGAAUAUAAUACGAACAGAAAGAUCUCAUGAAACUCCUAAGGAGUAUAUCCCCUCUCCCUAUCGCAGCCUCUUAAUCCACCAACAGCAGUUGACUCAAGAGCAGCAGUUAGACUCUUUCUCAUUCCUUUUGUUGUGACCUUAGCGGAACCUAGCCCUUUUUCAUUGAACUCUUUCCCCCUCCUUCAGCAUAAUCUAUAUUGCUCAAGAUUCACCGAAAAUCUUCAACUCAAUUCAUUCAGCCUGUCUUAUGGCGCCUACGCGGUUCAUUCCCCUUAUCAAUGAGACGGUAGAUUCAAUAUUCUUUGAACGUCCUUCGCGGUCUUCGCAACUCAAAUUGCAUUGAGCCUUCUAUUUUUCCUAUUUAGUGGUCCAAAGGGCUCAUCUGGAGCUUGAUUUUAGGAGCGAAAGCGGCUCGCCGACGAUAGGAAAUAGAGGCGGAGGCGCAAUAUUGCGAGAGCCUAACGGUCAAUGAAAUAUGAGAAGAUUACAUUCUUUCUUUUUGAACCGGAGCGGAAUAAAGAAUAGACCUCUCAGUAUCCGUCCGUAGGACUAUCCAUUAGAAAAGUUUGAACAAACUAUGUGAAUUUCGAAAAUCAAAUAGGACAAUGCCUUGCAAUUUCCCGGCUUUUUUGCUUCUUUUUCAUACUUUCUCGGUUUUCUCUAAAUAACGAAAAUUGUCUAAUUUUGACUGAUUUUUCAUGAUUUCUUGCUACUUCCCUAUGGGCAAAACCUAGCAAAAUCAUGUAUUUCCCUCCGCGGAUUCAUCUGAAAUCUAGCUCUUCAAUCUCCCUCUUUCUUUUUCAUUCCCAUUUUUUUCUUCUUUCAUUAUCGUUAAUGAGUUCAUUCUUCAGCACUUUCUCCUAAUUUGUAAACUCGAAAUCUGAAAAGAGCCUUUCUUCUUUUCCGCAACUCAUAUUGCAUUGAGCCUCACUAUGAUCCUAACUAUUCCUUGCUCCUCCGGAGGGAUCAUGACUCUUUGAUUUUAAUGGAUAAACAAGUCCGGAGGACGGGGUCCAUCUGAGUCAGAAACCGCAUCUUUGCAACCUUUGGGAUCAUGACUCUCAAAUUUCUCGCAAUAUUCUUUGCUCCUACAACUUCGGAUAUUGAUCAAAGAAUUAUCUAUUAGAUCCAUUGAAUUUCUGGAAAUAAGGCUCAAAGGAUGGAUAUUGAGAUGAGAUUCUUUCUUUUUGAUUAGUAGGUUUAGAAGCGUAGGAGGACGUAGAAGUCCCAUAAAAAGCCCUUGUUCAUUGAUUGCGCUCUUCUGAACUGAUAUUCGCUUCGCCGCAAUAUUCUUUGCACCGGCUUACGCUUGAUUUUGAAAUAAGCUUCCGUGACACAGCUCUUCUUCUUUUUUCUUCUUCUUCCCUAUUCAUACUCAGCAGCUACGGAUGGGAUGCCUAUUCCUCACCUAGGAGUGGGACGGGUCCAACCCUUCUUAUUCAGUUACCGAUGUUACCGAUAAAACUACAUCUGGGAAUUCAGAAAAAAGAAAUGAAUGAUCUUGAAAUUACCAUGGUGGAAUCAAAGAUGAACAAGAAAGUCAGUAGUUGACCCACUGAUAUAUGGCAUUCAUUCCCAACUCAAUUCACAACGAGCGAAGGAAGAAAGCAUCCCAACCCAACAAAGACAAAGGAUGAAAGAAAGAGAGAUCUCAUCCGAGAUCACAACGAAUGAAAUGGCAUUCCCUAUUUAUCUCAUUCUCUAUUUCUUCAGAGAGUAAUGAGAAAAAUCAUAAGUUCAGAAGAAUCAGAAAGCCGGAGGCUGGGUCAAGCGUAGUGGGAGUUCUUUCCUAGCCGAAUCAUAUCAAUUCCGAUUCCAUCAUCUGAUAGAUUCAAUACUCAUUAGACGGGUGUCAGGGAAUCCAUCCCAAAUAGGAAGGACGAGACCGGAAGCAUCCAUCUUUCUCUUUCAGCUGUGAAGGUGAAAGGGGUUGCAGUCGAUCUUUCUCUUUUUCAGUUGCGUUCGUGCUCCUCUUGCACGGUUCUCGCUAUCCUACUUGUUCAUUAGAAUAUUAUAUUAUUGAAAGAACUUCCCGCUCUGUGGGCUUUUGGGACUGAAGUGACUGAAAGAGCGGAUUCACAGUUCCAUUAGUGAAAGACCCUGUCGAUAGAGUGAGAGUCAAAAGGUCUCGAUAUGAAGACGGGUUUCCUAGGGUGCUCUCUCUUCCCUAUAGUAUUCUACAUCAAAGAGAAAAGAAGAAAGUGCUCUACCUCACCCGGGCAGGGGAAGGGCUAGUUUCAUAACACAUUCGUUAUUGAAGACUCCUAAUCCGACCCUCGUAUCCGCUAUCUGCGCUUCUAUAUCCUCGAUUCUCACUCUUCUUUUCUGAAUUCCCCGCUACGUGGGAGCUCCAUAUCCAUAUUAAUAAUGUCUUGAGGCUAGUCUCUUACUGAGAUAGCUUCCUUCCCUUGCUGGGGAUGGAGAUUCCACCACUAGGUCGGUUCUUAGUUCUACUAAACUAGGUCGCUAACCGAUGCCGGAACUGAGAAUGCUGUCUGAACUUAUUCAAUUAGCGCUACGUGGGCUAAAUCCGAGUAAACAAAGCCUCUCGACCCUACCGAGUAUCUGAGUGAGUCCUUCUUUCUAGCUUCCCUGUAGAGCAUUUCAUCCAAUGCGCCUUUCUUCCUUCCCUUAUUCAGGAAAUUACGUAAUAACAAAGAGGCUUAGCACGGUGGGGAGAUUAAUAUGGAAUUGACUUCUUUUCUUAACUUAAAUAAGCGCUUUUCCACAAGAAAAGAAAGAAGGACUGCGCCUGUCUUAUGGAGCCUCUUACCGGUGCGAGAAGGAUCGGAAGCGAAGCGACUCUUAAGUUAAGGAGCGCAAAUCAACUCCUCCGCUCCUACUCCGACUAGAAACUGAAAGUCGAAAAAGAAGAAAUUCACUCGCUCGGUAAGAAAGCUGAUAAUGGGCAAGAUCUCCGGAAAGGCUCUUAGUAAUUAUUGAGGAAUCCAUAAAGAAAGUUUUAGGAUAGGCGAACCUUCUUGAAGUUUCUCUAAGAAAAAAGACUAAAAACCCACUACUAAACCUACUAUUUCUCAUCAAGCCUAUCCUCUCCUUUACCUUCUUUGAUGGAAGUUUUGGAGGAGUUGAACCCAUGAAUUCACACACAAGCUAAAGAGUCGGGGUCGGUUAAUAUAAUAUGGACCUAAUCUCAACGCAUAUUUCAUUCCGCCUUCGCAUAUUUCAUUCCGCCUCCGUCCGGAGUCCGGAGUCCUACAGAUGAAUCUUCCGGACUAUCCAUAUGGAAGUAGGACCAUCCGUAAUUAACCGAAGUAGGACCAUCCGUAAUUAACCGAAGUAGGACUAUCCAUUAGAAUAGAACUUUGCACCUUCUAUCAAAUUCGUGAAUAUGGAUGAAUGAGUCCUUCGCCUCAAUGAUUUUGGAGGCGCAAUUCAAUAUGCGUUGUUGUACUUAAAACAGUAUUUAUUAGGUCGUCUUCUAAAUCAUUAACACCUUUAGUCUUUACAUAGUUUUUCAAACUGGAGGCACUACAUCAGACUCGUCCUACGCAUUUUAUAGAGUUGUCUUUCUUCUUUCUCUCUUGUUUUACUACGCGGUAAAGAAUCAUCAAAAUUCAUGUAAUAGUCUUUCUUAAUAUGGAUAGUCCGGAGCCUUCGGAGCGGAGGCAAGGAAUAAGACUCCUACUACGGGGAGCGCAAAGCGACAUAGGAGUCCUUCGGACGGGCUAAAAGAAGAACUGCUAUGGGUGCUGCGGAUUCCCCAGCGGGUGGACAAGAGGGGAGGGGCUGUCCCAUUGAAUAAGAGUCAGAAUCCACUAGGGUCACAUCAUCCAUCUCGGGAAGGUAAGAGGGAAGGAAUCUUUGAAGGUUGAAGAGGAUGUGGAACCUUUCAUCUGCAGCAUGAGAUGGAUUGAUUUACGAUGCCUUUCUGGGGAGGCCGUCCCUCUUAAUGCUGAUCAGUCAUCCUCGAGGAUCAGUUGCGGCCUUUCCUUCUAUGGGGUUCUCUUUUUGACUUGGAAAAAGAUAUCUCGCCUAGUCUCGACCUUUAGAGUCAUCUGGACCUUUGUUUUUGGGACUUCUUUAUCCAUAUUCACCCUUUCUUUGCCUUGGCCGUGUAGUGGGGAUCUCUAGCUAUCGAGCUUUCCGAACUCAUACUCAAACCUUUCGCCUCAACUCCUUGGUCUAUAAUGAGGCUUCCCAAGAAUCUCAUUCCGAUUUGUUAACGAAAGACCUAUAAGUACCAGUAAAGGAUCUCCUCUCAUUUUCCUGAAUUAGGAUAAAGCCUAGUACAAUACAAAUCCUGCCCCGGGAACCGGGAAUUAGCAAUCUUUGAAGGGAAGAGAGGAAAGGAGCAUCCCGAUCUCAAGAUCGAAGGAGAGCCAACUGUUUACAGGAAAGGAAGUUGAAAGAGGCAUGGUACGAGAGGAAAGCCUCACGGCCAAUUCAGCUAAGUGUCAAAGACCGUUGACAGCUACUGCUAGUCGCAAACCUUCUCUUCCGAAAGAACCUAUUUGCCCACUGACUUUCAGCUCUGUAAAAGAACCCAUCCUCUUAUCAUUUCCUCUUCCUAUUUCUUAUUUCUUAGAAUGAAUAUUUCUUGAUGCACCUAUGUAUGCUAUGGAUUCAGAAAAGAAAGGAUGAAGAGAAUCUGCGAAUGAAAGUGAAAGAAGAAUUUACUCAUUAACGAGAAUUCACUGAUUAAGAAGAAUCCACAGUCCGAAGGCUCAAUGUAAUAUGAUUUUCCGCUUUGUUUUUCCGAAGGACCAAGCUUUUUUUACCGCUCGCAAGUCAAAUUCUCUAAUGGAUAGGCCUCAGCUUGAUUUCUGUUAGAAGGUGGGCUUUCUUCUUCUCAAAUACUUUGAGCCUCGGACUAUUUCUCAAUCUUAGACCGAUAAAAGAUCUUUUUUGACUGAUUUUUUCUCUUUGUCUUUCUGCCUCUUUCUCUCCAACUCACUCGAGCCGCUUCGGUCCUCUCCCUCUAUCGGCGGCGAGCCGCUUUCGCUCCUCUCCUUACAGUCGAGUUCCUUCUAUCCUCUGGUCGAGUGGCUACGCUCCUCUCACCCAGCGCAGUGAUAGUACGGACUUUCUUUCUGGUUUGUGACUCUUUUCAAGCAAUAAGAAGAAUUACCGCUACGUGGCUUUCUUUGUGGCUUUUUCUUACUCCAGACAAGAUGGGUACAGUGGCUCGACUUUAUAUUAACUAUCGUCUUCUCAAAUUCCCUAAUGGAUAGUCCUUCGGACCUGUCUUAUGGAUCCUUUGAUUCUUGUUCACUAAGAGUUCUUUCUUCAAGAGUCAGAUCGGUGCCAUGAGGGAAUGCUAAUUGAAUAGAGAUUCGGCUUAGUAAGCCUUUCCUCGUUCGCUCCUCGUACCUUUACAUCUUCCUAUGAUUGGUUAUGCGAGCAGGCCCCUUCCUGUUUACUAAGUGGUCGCCUUGUCUUAUACUUUGAGACUUUGUUGACUCUCUUUGAAUGAGUUCUAAGGUUGGCGGGAGCUCUUCCCUCCCCUUACCUGAUUUUUCAAGAAAGGGCUGAAAGAAAAGAAAUCUCUCGAAAGAAAGAAGAGGGUACCGUGGAAGAUGUAAAGACAAUAAGCAAGGGGCACUAGCUGGUAGCGGGCUCUUAAGGGUUACCAUCAAAAAUCACUAUCCUCCACUCCUAUUGAAGACAGAAAACCUGCCCGAUUGGGAGAGGGAUGAAAUAGCUCGACCGUAGGGAGAGGGAUGAAAUAGCUCGACCGUAGGGAGAGGGAUUCUUCUUUCUUCUUUAUAGUAGGUUUGUUUAGAAGAAGACUCCCAGAAAGAGAAAGCCUAGCGAAGGGAAGCGACUGGAAAGGAGUGCAGAGUGCAAGUGCAGGAAAUAGCUUUCUUUGAAAGGAUGGGAAAUCGAGGUAGUCCUUUGCUUAAGACAAUGGUUGAGUACAAAGACGAAUACCUUCUCCUCUUACCGGUAAGCAUCUCUUUUCUUAAUUGGCCUAUAACCACCCCUUGUUCAUUGAGGCGGGAGAGAAAGCACUCCACCUCUUCGGGAGAGAGAGCACCAAAAGCGAAAGCGGCUCGACUUAUAGGAGAACAAGCGAAAGCGGCAGUUCGUCUUCUUGAAAAAGGAGAAUUGGUAAGCUCUUUCAUUCGAUCGUCACACCAGUCCGGAGUCAAAUAUUAGUGGAAAACAAAGGUCCAGGUGACUCUACCCUAUUUAUUGAGACCCCACUCCGCGGUUCAAUUCAAUAUUCAAUAUGAAAGGAGCGGGAUCCUUCCUCUUUAUAGUAGAUUUGGAAGAGAGCAGAACUAUCCACUGAAAGUAGAAAAGGUCAAUGGAAGUCCUCUUCCUUAAAGACUUUUUAGUAGGUUCUUUCAAUAUUCUUUGAACCUCCGGCUUUCCCCUUUCUAGUAGAAUAAUAGGAUAUUUGAGUAGAACUCCUCCGCUCCUACUCCGACUAUCCACUGAAUGUGACAAGAGAACUCCAGAAGAUAGGCUUUCCCCUUUCUAGUAGAAUAAUAGGAUAUUGGAAGUUUCAGUUCGGAAUGGAUCUCGCAAUAUUCUUUGCGCCUUCUAUAUAUUCUUUGCACCUCUGAAUUUCAUGCGCUUCCCUUCUCAUAUUUCAUGGAACCUUAUUGCAGACUUCACAUUCUACUUUGUCUCUUCUUUCUUUGUAUGUAAUUUAAUAGUCUUUGUCAUUUGCAGCCCUCCUUUUGAGUCUGUUCAACUCAUCCUGGAGCUUUAUUUUGAAUUGACUUUCUUCCUCUUAUCUUAUUCUACAACUGAUGAAUUUCACGACUCAAUGAAUUCAGCCUCCUUCUAAGAAAAAAGCCUAGCCCAAAAGUCACUAAAAAAGACUCAAGAAUAUCCCUGUCUUAUGGCGCCUCACAGUCCAUUCAAAGAAGCCCACGGUAAAGAAGUGAGUUACUCAACUCUGAAUCACGAUACGGAGCGGUGCGAGUCAGCUCUUCCCUUGAUGCUGAGGAAGCUGCAGCUGCAGGUGCAGCUCUUUCUUCAGUUUAAGUUCUUGUCCUUGCUUUAAGUGGUUGAAGUAGAGGAUGCGUCAUCCGUUCUUCGAUCGAUCGGAUCGCUAGAUCGUCAGGCUAAAAUCAAGCCUUCUUUCUUCAUUGAUUGACUUUUCCAAACUAGUUUUCUUCUCGAAUUGACUACUCCUAUUCUUUUCAAAGUCAGAGCUCUCUCGCAAUAUUCUUUGCGCCUUCAAAGAAAGGUCCAGGUGACUAUCCGCAUUAACAUUAGAUUGGACCGUAUUUAUUAACAAGCAAGGGAAGGAUGUAGCGAACGAUGUAGCGUUUACGUUUAGGCCCAGAAUCAGAAGAUCAAGAAGCUGCCGAGGGGGGUCUUGAAUAUUGAGCUGCGGGAAGGACUUGUAGAGUUGCUCAGCCUGCGAGACGGGUGUCGGAAGAGGAGCCCACGUAGCGGUGAAAGGGCUGUAGCCGUUGCUGCGGAUAGGUCUUCUUUUUUCAUUCUUAUCGUUUUAGUCAUCCAUCCGUAAGCAUGAGUCUGAGUCUAGAGGAAGAAGCCCCCAACGGAAUGAGCAACCGCGGAGUGGGCAUCGGGUAUCUAAGGAUGAUUUCUGAACAUAUGAAGUAAUUACCGGAUCGGGGACGGACGGACGCGCCUCCCACUAGAUCUCUUGGCUUUCAACUCCCAAUGUCUGACACUUCCUUUUUCCCGGAACAAACCGAAGAUGAAGAAGGGGUCUGGCUUCUUUCUAUCUCUUUUUUUGAUGAGACCUCUCCCGCUCCGUGGGCAUUGAACCGAAGGUGCAAAGAAUAUUGCGGCUAUUCUAAUAGAUGUUCGAUUGGGAAUCUUUGCUUUCUGCCUUCAUUGUAUUCUAUUCUUUUAUCGUUUUUCAAUGAAUUGAGAAUCCUUUGUUUGCGGUCUUUAUCGAUGCUAGUGCAAAUAUCGUCCUAUUGAGUGACUGCCUAAGAAAGAGAAGAUUCAGUUUGUGAUCCACUCAUUCAGAAGAAGCAUUCCAAACUAAUGAAAGAGGAAAGUCAACAUCGGGAAGUGGACGACCCAAAGCAGAGGCGACCCGCAGAGGCAAGGGCAUUCGAUCUUGAGGCCCACUACGCGCUUUCGGCUGGAUAAGUUCGUCUUGGUAAGCUGAAAGGCACUCGUCGGCAAAAAGCCUAAUCUUUCACUCUUCAUAUCACAUGGGAAAUACGUGGUCAAUCUCAAUCCGGGUUAAAUGCCUUACCCGAGGGGCACUACUGGAGAGCACUUUGGGCCGUAGAAGGUUUUUAUGAUUUACUUGACUAUUAAAAGAUUACUAUCUACGAAGGAGCAGUCUUCUUUCUCUUUGUCUUUCCGCCUCUUUCACACUUCUCCAACUCACUCUUUCUCCUCGGCCGGAACAACUACCGCCACUGCCUCCUUAUCAGCUGCAACUGCAAGGGCCCGCCCUAUCCUAAACAGUUCAUCCCAUAAGAGAGAUAGAUAGUAUUUCAGAGAACAAACUGGAUGACGUGGGAAAGGGUGGUUGAUCCCCUUUCCCCCUCUUGUGGCGUCAACGACCCUAUCUUAGUCUGCUUCGCUCCUCUGCUGGUAUCAACUAAAGGAGGAUUCGCCCUACAAUAUCCCUGUCUUAUGGAUCCUCAGACGAAAGAAAAAGACUACUUUCAGAAAAAAGGGUAGAUUCUUCAUUCAUGAAAGGCAUAUUUCAUUGCGCCUCCUUCGGUUCAAUUCCCACGCCAAAAAGAAAGGUCCAGAUGACUCUUCCUUGCCGUAGGGUCGACUUCAUCCAUUUUCUUUCUUAUACUUUUGAAGAAAAAUUCUCAUCAUAAUAAGUAAGGGCUUUGCCCUAACAACAGCAUCCCUUCUUCUUACUGGCUUUCUCUUUCUUUUCUCUACUAAGAGUAGGCGUUGGAAACGACACAUCCUAUCCUAGGAGAUUCAUACUCUCAUUCUGAUUCACGAAAGAAAGAAAGGGAAAGGGCACGAGAGCAGGAAGCAUCACAAAGAGAAAAGGUUCGACGCAAACAGAUAGGUUGUGGGACUAAUAUUCAAUCUCCUCCUUCUCCGACAUCCCUUUCACAAUCCCAGUCAAAUCGAAAGGCGGCCCCACGGAGCGGAAAGAGAUCUCAUGAUCUAUAAUGCAAGCAGAGAGCCACUUCUGAAACUGAAACUCCAAGAUCUAAUUCCCUGUUGUCUAACUCCAACUCAGCCGCAACUGAAAGACCCGUCUUAUUGAGGAAUUCCCCCUGAGAACAGUGACUCAUGAACUCCUAACCCGCUCGAGUGGCUUUUUAUUGGAUUGUUCCUGCGCUUUCUUUCUUCCUAUAUAGGCGGAUAACCUAUCCUACUAAGACUUCCGCCCCCUCUCCUUCUCGUGAUCGUACUUAUUCCUAUCUUAUGAAAUUACUUCAACUAUAUGAUACCCGCUCGUAAGUAAACUAAGUCAACUCCUUCGCGCCGAUACAGAAAGAGAGAAAAAAGACAAAAGAGAUGACUGAAGCUUAAGAGGUCUUUGCCCUCUCGUAAGAAGACUUGAGUGCCUUCGCCCCUUUCUAUCUCUUCCUAUUCUGAAACUCUUAUGAAUGUGAAUGCAAUACCUGAAUAAGAUUUGAGACUAGGGAAAGCCUGAAUGAGACUGGGCCGGGAGCUUGUAGGUCCAUUUGCUUAAGACAUGAGGAUUGUACAAAUAGACUCAGAUCUCGCCCAUGGAUUGUCUCACUCCGAUCAUUCUUUGAGCCUUUAUAUCCCGACUGAUUUAUGGAAUAUAGACUUUCCUUGGCCUUCCUCUUCUUCUUGAGUGAAUCGGAAAUUCUUCUUUCUUCUAGCCCUAUUUAUUUAUGGAUGUUCAUUGAGGCGGAGGACUCAUUCAUUGAUCUUUUUUUAUGGGUCUCACUAUCAUUCCCUGUCUAAGGAAACAUCGACUGCUUUUGUGACUCAUUCGGAGUUACUCUUUUUCUAGCUUCUUCGGAAACUGAGAUGGCGUCCGUCCUACUCUCUUCUUGCUUGAAUUCUGAAAGAAUGGUUGGUUGGUGACCGCUUCGAGAGAGAGAUGGAAUUUCUUACUCUUGAAGGUGCUCUACCCUUUUUUCCUUGUUGAGAUAUUCCACCAUUCUGAUGGUCCCCCGGCUCCUAAUUGAGUUCGAGAAGAUAGGAGAUGCAAAUUGUCCGAGGUUAAGCUGCUGAAAGACAAAGAAUUUCCUUUCAAAGAAUGAAUGAAAGGAAGACCUUACCGAGUGCCGUUGCAGGAUAAGUUCUUUGCAAGAAGGAGACCAACUGCCCGAACAAGUUCCAUAAAUCAGUCCUUCAAAGUAAUAGCUAUUAAGACUCAUUCCCCGUCACCUGUCCCCUUAUAAUUGUUCUUUGCGCCUUCGGUCUUAAGACUCCUUCAAAUUUCAGGCAAAGAAUAUUGCGUGGGAAUUGGAGUGCAGAGUGCAAAGAAGACGGAAAAGGAGAAGUGCAAGUUCAAUCAGACGAUCAUCCUCCUUCUCCGGGCUGGGUCGGAGCUAUCAAAAAGAAUAAGUAGGGCGCGGUCUGGGUAGAUAUAUGCUUUCCUCUAACCUCAGAAGCUCUAUUUAGGUCAAGCCUUAAAGUAGGAUCGACCGGAUUUGAAUGUUUUGAAUAGUCUAUCUAAAUCCUAAAAUCAGGCUAUUUCCUAAUAUGGAAUAUCUCGAACGAAAUAGGGCAGUGCCAUAAGACCUCUCCCUCGGAAACAGAUAAUUCCGCUAAGCCAGGAGAUUCCUCUCUUUCAAGGGAAGUAGACGCUCCAGUAGAGGCCAUACGUAGCCGAAAAAAGACAACGAGAGGAUCAUCAAGGAAAGACCUUUAUCUUCUAGUUCGCUCGGAAAGCUCUUUUUCUAAAUCAUGGUAGCGAGAUAUGUCAAUCAAAGUCAAUACAGAAAUCGGCUUAGGCCUUGUUGGUAUCGCGGUUGCAGGCUAGGCUGUGGCCCUUCAAGGUAAGUAGAAAAAGAGAAGAGACGGAUUCCGUUCUUAUUCAUUCGAUGCGGAAAGACUUGAACCCGUGACCCGCUCCAGGCCUCGCUCCCGAUUGAGGGGUUACCCAUUCGGUUGACUCUUAACGGAAUAACUCAUUUGGUUCAACUUCUAAUUCCAAGUCAGACUUCCCAAGAAGAUGACUCUUCGUCUUUCGCUUUCAGGUACCUUUCUUCUCGUGCAAGAUCUUACUCAUUAGUUAUUCAAUGGAGGAAUCAGGAGUCGAGCUACUUCCAACCAUAUCUACUUGGCCGACGACCAUCUGCUUUCGGGGCGGGUCUUUGACGGGUUUCCGGGGGAAUAAAAAGAAGGAAGUUUUCCAUGAAAUCAAAGUCAAUUGGGACAUAAGCCUUUUCAGGCGAUACUGAAAGAAGAAAUCCAGCUACUUAAGAAAGAAGAAAGGCAACCGCGUAGUGGGUCACACCAGCUCCCAAAUUAGCUGCUCUAUAUAAGAUAAAGAAUGCAAUUCUUCACUCACUUUAGUCACUCAUAAUAGACUGGGAGGAGAGGAAAGGUUCUAUCUAUCGGGAGAUAGUGCUUUCUAAGAAGAAUCUGGCUACUUAAGAAAGAAGAAAGGCAACCUACUAAGCAGGUCUCAGCGUAAACAGCGGGGAUGGUGCGUGCGCGCCCUCUACUAAGGCCCUGUCGAGGAACCUCAUUCUUCCUUUUUCUAGUCCUCUCAACUGAAGACGGAGGAUAUAGGGCCUUGUGAUUCAGCAGAGGUACGGAGUAGUGUGAGAGAAUCAAAGUUCCCCUCGAGCUAGCAUUAUCAUUCCUCUUGUCCUUGUGGAGGUAUGGAAUUGCGUGCCUGCCUUUGGGGUUGGGGCAUAGACCGAUCGGCGAAUGAGAGGUUCGUGAAUAUGGAUGAAUGAGUCAUCUGGACCUUUGUUUAUGACGCGCUUUCACUCUAAAUCAAGGGGAAAUACGUGUCAAUCGUUACUCGGAUAAAGCCAGGCUUUUUGCCUCAGUCUCAUUCAUGGAUGAAACCCCUAGAACUGCAGGUCGAAAGAAAAGAGAUGAAAGAAAGGCCUGUGAAAGGAACUCCUCAACCGCGUCAAGGAGUCUGACCUUGAUUCAGAGUUUCCUUCUACAGUCACUGAAAAACCGUGGGAAUAAUCAACCUACUAAAUACUAAAAGAAGAAAAAAAGCUUUGUAGAGAGAGAGGAGGGAGUGCAAAGAAGACGUAGAAGUCUGUAGCUUUCAGUUCCAUGAACGAGUCCAUUUUUCUGAUUUUCAAAGACUAUGUAAAAGAUUAAUAUCUGGUUUUUAGGAUUGAGAUCAAUUAUGAAUUUCUGAUUUACUUGACUAUGAAAAAGAUUAAUAUCGGAGGCUGAGUCCAAAUCAAGGGAUUUUGCAAGAAAAUGUCCUGCCACCUAACUAAGAAGUGGCUGAAAAGAGCUUCAAAGUGGGGGGCGAAAGCAAAGAACCAUGCUCUCCCCCAAGAGGGGUGUCGGAAGAGGAGUUAGGCAGGCCAUCCCAGAUCUUGUGUCCCAUCCCUUGCCCCAGUUCUUGUUGUUGACGCCCUUGUCGCAGCUCUUUCUUUCCUCGCCCACAGAGCGGUGUAGAAGGAGACCUCAUCUCUUUCCUAACGCCUUGCUUCUUUCUUCAUUUAUUGACUCCCAACGUGGACAAGGAACUCCUCUGACCCCUCUUUACGGAUUCAAACCGUCCUCCAUUUUCAAAGGAAGAAAGUCAACUUGACCUACUACAGAGGGACGCCUCAAGCGCGAAGAUAGCAAAGUAGGUCCGUCUUACAAGUCUUCUUAGAAGAUCUUUCACGAGAAAGUAUCGGCCCUCGAGAGCAAAGGUUUCGGAAUCUCCAUCUCUGGCUUCUGCGGUUCAUAAGUGGAAAUCUUUCUAUUGAAAUAGAAAAUAGAUGAAAAUCAAAGCUUUCCCGCUUAUAAAGCAGAAGCUAGACAUGGGACAAGAACGAUCGUGAAACCCACGGAUUCAAUCUUCUUUGAACCUUAUUUAUUGUCUGAAUUUGGUCUUAGUGUGACGUACGCUCGACCAUAAUGAAGCUUGAUAGGUUAGCGCCCAGCCGAAGGGUACUCUGAUCGGAACUAAAGUAGCGAGAAGUCUGACUCAAGGGAACUGAAAAAGCUCAAGCAAGAUCCAGUCGUAUGAAAAGAAUGGUACGAUCUCCUUCAUUAUAGAUCGAUAGGGAGAUCGUCAGGCUGUCGGCGAGCCUUAUAACGAGAUUCACUGGGAUUCUUCCAGUACAAAGAGUGAAAUGCCAGGCGAUAGGCCAGAUCUCUCAUUCGCCGAAGCAUGGAUUUCUCAUCCUAGCACAGGAGAAAUUUUCCACAACGACUGCAGGAACAGAGCCCUCAACGGGGACGGAGACAGCAGGCUAAACUUCCCUUGAUGGCAAGGACAGAUCCCGCUCUUGGUCUAAGAAUGAAAUAGCAUAAACUUCUCUUCCCGCUCCGUGGGCCUUCCCUAAUAGUCAUUCUUUGAGGUCCGUCCUAUUAACCUGUCCUCCGGACUGGUCUCGCUCCUUCACACCUCUCUUAUUGAGUUAAUUGGGUAUUUCCUCUAUAGUCAAUUAGGAAUCGGAAAUAGUGAGAUUCUAGCUUUCCAGACUGAUUCAGAUUGGAGUGACUCUCCGGCUUGCUCUGAGGCUGCCGAUCUACUCAACUGUGAGAUUUUCAAUGGGAAAGCGGGCAUAACCUGGUCCUUCUCCCCUAACCUAUGAUCAUUGUUCUAGCUGGUUCUCGGAAAUCUGACUCUGGUUCUUCCCUUUGCCCAGAAACUCCACCAGGAAGAGAGAAAGUCAAGAUCUCAUUCCGAUUCCUCUCUGGCUGCCCCUCUUUUCUGGGCCAAGGAUUAGGAAGGGAGUUCUAGUUCUUCCUAUUAAUAGGACAAUCAGUUCCUUUCCCGAUUGACUUCCGUAACCCUACUUAUUUGUUCUAGCUUGAGGCGGCCGGCCAAGGAACCUAUUCUAAGCGAAAGAGUCUUAUCUUGAUUUAUUUCAUAAUGCUAAAUGCUCCGAAUCUAGUAAUAUGGAUAAAUAAGGGUCAGGACGUCUUGAUGAUUUUCAAAGAAAGACAAGAGAGAAAGAAGAAAGACAAGUCCUUCUACGCGGCAAGGAAUGAAGGAGUCCUUUUUAUGAUAGUCAAAAACUAUGUAAAAGAUGUGAAUGAGAGGAGUUAUUUAGUGGAAUAAGACUCGUCCGGAGUCCGGAGUCCUACGUGCCAAAGAAAGGUCCAGGGUCCUACGUCCGCAGGGCCAAAGAAAGGUCCAGGGUCCGGAGGAUUUAUCCGUAGGACUAUCCAUUAGAAGCAGUCCGCAGGAUUUAUCCGGAGGACCAUCAAAGAAAGGUCCAGGUGAUUUAUCCGUAGGACCAUCCAUAUGGAAGGAAGUAGUCCGGAGUCCGGAGGAUUCUUAUCCGUAGGACUAUCCAUAUGGAAGUAGGACCAUCCGUAAUUAACCGAAGUAGGACCAUCCGUAAUUAACAGAAGUAGUCCGGAGUCCGGAGGAUUUAUCCGUAGGACCAUCCAUAUGGAGGGAAGUAGGACUAUCCAUUAGAAGGGCUGACUUUGGGCCUCCGUAGCUUAAUAUGGGACUAUGAACCAUAUUUUAGAUUAGAACUCCUCUUCUCAAUAUUCUUUCUCCGCAAUAUUCUUUGCUUUUCUCACGCAAGUCAAAUUCUCUAAUGGAUAGGCCUCCGCUAGGCUGAAUUCAAUAUUCUCAAAAGUCUUCCAGGAUAUAAUAGCUUUUUUUUGGAAUGGAAUACUCCUUUUUAGUGGACGCUACUUGAUUUGAUUAUGGGGGGAUGAGACUGAUUUAUCCAUAUUCAGUAAAUAGGAGCACGUAGAAGGCGCAAAGAAUUUGCGAAGAAGGACUAUCCAUAUUAACCCAGAGAAGAAUAUUGAAUCUACCUUUUCAAAAAGCUCCGAACGUUACACUCGCCACUAAAAUCAAAAAAGAAGGACUUUCUCAUUUCCGACUACUGAUUUUGAACUCGAAAGAAAGAGAGUGGUGCGGCGGACGAAGUGAAGGUAGGAUGAAGAGGAGUAUGAGUUCUUUGUUUAGAACUGGUGCGCAGUUCCCACGGGAAGGCUAAGCCUCACUCACCCUUUUUACGAGAAAGAGGGAGAAAGAGAGAGAUACUGUAAGUUGACUCUUCAUUCUCAUUCUUUGAAUUGACUUUUCUUCUUAGCUUUCUUAUCUCUUAUUAUAUUAUUAAUGAAGUAACUAUCAAUCGCCGUCUUCUUGUAUUAUCUUCUUAUUUCUUGAGAGGUGCGAAGAAAUCUCAAGUGGUUCGUAAGAAAGAGCCCCAUACCAUAAAAAAGGGGGGAUAAUAGGUAUCAGCCUCAGAGGUGACCUGCGCGACCUCUCUCAUUAGCCUCUCUUUCCGCUGCAGUCCUUCUUCGUCUUCGUCUUGCAGAAUUGUCCCAGACCAGUGCUUUAUCUAGCUUUAGUUGCUGGAUUUCUUGCUUAGUUUCGGGAAUAUGAGCUCGAUCCAGAGAUCCUUUUUUGAUGAAAGAUCUAAAGCAUAUUGAAAUAGAAAGGAUUGAUCAAAGGCGCUUUAGGAAAGAGCUUACCGAUCAAUGGACGAGGCGCGACUUCUCUUUCUGAAACAUAAGCAGCCUCUGCGAGAACUAUGGCUACAGCAGCAAAAGAAAGGGAUGCAAGAAGAGGUGGUCGAGCCUGAACUUCCCCAGGAGGGAGGGGCAAGGGAAAGAACUCCUCGCGCUAGGUCGAUUUGCGUGCGUGGAUCAUGUGCCAAUGCCCCAAGGUCCAUCUUCUGCUUGUCUAGCCUCUUCAGACUAAGUACCUUUCAAUCCGGCCGGUUGAAGCACGUGGAAAGUGUGCCCGGGCACUGUCAAAUCGAGUCUUUUCGCAAGAUGGGGAUGGCUCCGUCCUCCGCUUUCUUCCUUUCAUCUUUUCAUCAGAAAAUAUCCUCUUAUGAUACUCAAACUACAAUAUCCCUGUCUUAUAGAGCCUUGUUCAUUGAGGUCCUCUAGAACCUACUCAAAAAAGAAGGAAGAAUUUCAUGCUUUCCAUGCCAUGUCCUUUAACUUCCUUGAACUGCAUUCCCAUUAUUUUCUCAUCUGCACCCUUUAGUCCUAUAAAAAGAACUAAGAAGAAAGCGCAACUUCGAUUUUGAUGCCUUUCAUCCGCUACUUUCAUCCUAUAUAUUCCCACGGGGCGGUAAGAAUAGGGCUUUCUUUCUUUAUAAUAGCUUUUUUUGGAAUUCAAUAUUUCAGACUCGUCCUUUUUUUUUCGCAAUAUUCUUUGUGGUCCGAAGCCUGAAUUAUCGAAUAUUGCGUGGAAAGAAUAUCCUUUUUCUAUUGAUGACUCGCGGGCGCAGUUAAGGAAAAAUAGCAUUUAAUAAGGGCUCAAAGUAAAGACCAAAUACAACCUCUGCGGUCAGUCCUUCGGACCAGGUGCGCGAGUAAAUCAAAGAAAAGAUGCGCAUAUUGCUAUUUCCCCCUCCGCGGUGCCAUAAGACAGGUCCGAAGUCCUCGCAAUAUUCUUUGCGCCUGUCUGUCCUGAGGACGGGGAAUCUUGAGAGUUGCGUGAGUUGCGUGAGAAAGAAGACUGAUGCUUGAAGGAAAAGCUUGAAGUACAGCAGCCCGGAGCUAAGAUAAAGCGAGACAUCCAGAGGGUUCUCAGACGCGAGACAGAGCUUCAGGUUCUCAUACGACCUUAAUAUGGAUAAAAAUCAGUCCCACUAUUUCAAAAGAAAGGUCAAGAUGACAUUCUUGAUUUUUGCUAGUCGCAAUAAGACAGGUCCUCCUUCGGUUAAUUACGGAUAGUCCUACUUCUGUUAAUUACGGAUGGUCCUACGGAUAAAUCACCUGGACCUUUCUUUGGCCCUGCGGACUCCGGACUCCGGACUACUUCCAUAUGGAUAGUCCUCCGGAUAAAUCCUGCGGACUGCUUCGGUUAAUUACGGAUGGUCCUACGGAUAAAUCCUCCGGACUACUUCCAUAUGGAUAGUCCUACUUCCCUCCAUAUGGAUGGUCCUACGGAUAAAUCCUCCGGACGUAGGAUAAAUCCUGCGGACUCCGGACUCCGGACCCUGGACCUUUCUUUGGCACUCCGGACCUG
rnacentral:lncRNA from 1 species